UUCAGAGGAAUUUAUUCAUGGGUGCCUUCAUAAGUCCGUCUGAGUGAAUUGAGACAAGUACUCCUGAUAUAAUAUAGUUAUAGCAGGGUUUACUGACUUCGCGAAUGAGUUCCAAGCUUUUUAAAAAGAGUUUGAGCUCGGCCAAAGACUCUUUCAACAUCUGUUGGAAGCUUUGGCUUACUCUUUCAGACUCCGGCCCCUUCUUAAUAGCAAAUACAAAGUUAUCUACAUAUAUAACAACAAGAAAUUCCUUCUUUUGAAUCAAAAUAUGAAUAAACAUGAUAUGUUUCUGUAAGAAGAUAUUCCAAAGAAUUGGAGAUAAGGGGCUUACCCGCUGUAUUCCUUUAAAAAUGAAUGCAUAACUUUUUGGAUUCUGAUCUUUGAUAUCACUAGCUUCAAUCAGAUUACAGAAGGCAUCAUUACCUUGCCCAAUAUGCGCUUAUAAUGUUGAAAUGAAAAUCAUAAUAUUAAUAUUAUUAAAACAACCAACUAUAUCGGCUUGAAUGAGUCUAUCAACCUUUCCGAAAUUUUGAACAUGAGCGAAAAAGGGGAUGACUUCUCUCCCUUUUCGAAACCCAUGGGAGUAUGUUAGAAAGAUGUCUUCAAGAACGAUGUUCAAAAGCCGUAUCCAUGACAAUGAUGUCUGCCUUAUGAGGCUGUCUAAUGGAGCGCAUCUCCCCCGGCUUAUGUGGUUUAGGAAUGCAUGAUCAAUAAGAGAACUAAAAGGAAGAAUUCUUUAAUUACCUCUUAAUCUCCUCCACUUGGGACUUGUCAAGAACUUAAAAAGUAGAAGACUUUUCCCAAAGCCAAAGGUAGUAAAUAACAUAUAAUAAUAUCAACAAAUAAUCUAUAAAUUAUCUUAUCCUCCUUUUAAAAAAGAGUAAGUCUUUCAGACCUUUUUUUACAUUUGAAACUCAUGUUCAUGGUUUGUUUUAUUCCCAAUUGUUGCCCGUGUGAAAAGAAAGAAGAGAAAUUGGACCAUGUUUCCCGAGAGAGACUACCUUCUCUCAGGCCAGCAGUCUUACACUUAUAGUCGACUGCUCUAUGACGAUCUGACCUCUUUCCUGGGCUCUGCUCGCUCGUCUACACUCUGACCAAUUCAGUCAAAAUCGAAGAAAAUGAUGUUUCCUUAAAAAAGUCUAAGAAAUAGUAGUAGUAGUCAAAAAGUGCACUUUUUCCAUAUAUUUCGAUUUAUACGGAUCCCUAUCUUUAUCUCUAUCAACAGAUAUACCUAUCUAUAUAGAGGGAGAUUUUUCUAAAAAUUGAUCUAGACUAUCCUCUAUCCGGAUAGAUAUGUCCCUAUGAGCGACUAGGCCGCUCCUUUUUUAUAUGUUUUGGUCACGUCCGUUUCCGCUCUGAGAGGAAGGUUUAGAUCUUUCAAUCUUAUGUCGUGAGGGAUGUGACCUAUGUUAGGUCCAUAAGAUACCACAACUUUUUAGUGUUCUGUGAUUCACCUCCAAAUAAUGAGUAGGUAGUUCGAUCCUUUUGAUUCUUAUCUUCCUAGUAAACGGGGAUCCGGAGCAAUAGGUCGAAUUUCUAUAUAAAGAAGACUUGUAAACAAAAGAACUUAUUGCUCUUUUUCGGUUUUCCUCUUCCUCCUUCCUUCUUUUCAAUAAGAAGAAGUAUUUGAAAUGAAACAAAUUCCUCUUCAUUCUGUUGUGCUCAGCGAAGGAACUGCCUAAGCAUACUUUUGCGGAUCCAAACUUCUUUGUUCUUUCUAAGCCUUCUUCUUGCAUAUAAGAACGCAACUCUUGCAAAAACCCGGAUUUGAGUAGUAAGUGGCAUCCCCUUUGAGUUGUGAGUAAGCGGAACCAUUCUGUUUUUGUUCUUCUCCAGAUUCUGACCAGUAGGAAUUUGCCUAUGAAUUUGCUCUCCUCGCACACGACACAGCGUUCACUCUCCUUCCACCCCCUCCGCUUCAGGGCUACGCCUCUCUGCAGCCUUCCCUGACAGGCCAGGCAAACGUAGACUUUAAUCUUGAGGGGCAAUCUGCAGCCCCAUAGGCGUUGCAUCCGUUUGUUAAUCACACCACGGUGUGCUAGCAGCCUAUACAUUGAUUUUGUUGUGUAGUUACCCGACCUCUCCAAAGCCCAGCAGGCUCUAUCGUUGCCAUCUGACAGGGUCACGUCCUGCAGGAGUGUCAACAUGGCGUCCCAUUGGUCCAUUUCCUCCUGUCCAAAUGCUCGGCAGAAAGUAAUCCUCCAUUCCCCCUCCUCAAAGCAAUCGCAAGCUGUCAGAUUCUUGUUUGCAUGCUCAUAUGACUUGGGAAACAUGAGUUUCAGGGGCGCAUACCUAACCCAAGUUCUUCCCAAAACAAGACAUCUUUCCCAUUGCCCACCUUGAAAGUUGCCCGCCAUUUAAAUUUUUCCCUUAACUUGAGGAUUCCUUUCCAAAACUGGGACCCCUACCUAUAGUUUUGACCAGGGCACAGGUUGAGUUGCUGCAGCAUUUAGCCCUUAGCAGCUGGCAGCACUGGUCCUCCUCCCCACCAUUGUGUAGUCUCCAGGUCCACUUCAUUAGGAGAGCCUCAUAAAGGAGUCUAGUGUUCAGGAUCCCAAGCCCCCCAAAGUCCUUUGCAAGCACACAUUUUCCCAUUUAACCAUGUGGUACUUGAACUUGUCAACAUCGCCCCCCUAGAAAAACCGAGAUCUCACCACAUCCAUCUGGUGAUGGACCUUCUCAUUUAGCAUGUAUAUGCCCAUGGUGUAUAUGGGCAUGCUGCUCAAGGAAGAGUUUGUUAGGAUCAACCUCUCCGCCACCACCAUUGCAAGCUUCCGCCUUCUCUAACUCUAGCCUUCUUCCUCCACCACUAUUUCUGCGUACCCACCAUCCUCCGCGGCCUUGGUGGGUGGCGUUGCCACUGACUACCUCACUGCCAUCUCGACCCCACCCACCACCGUUUCGGUGACCUUCUACCGCCCCUCUAUAGUUCAGCAACCUAGGAACCCUAUAACCCUAAACUCUAACCCCGGUAGCUCCAAAACCCAAAACCUGAGGGCCCGCGCGGGCGAUGCAACGAGUGGCGGCAGCGGCAGGACGUUCAUGAUGGGCUGCUGCUGGGCCUUUUGAAGCGCGUUGGAUCGAGGUCGCACGCUACCCUGAUUAUUCCCGCAUCUGAGGUGCCAUCCUACAACGAUAUCAUUGAGGAAGUGCGUCUCGACAAAGAGCGGCGCCAGGUUGCUCCUGUUCCUGCAAGCGGUGUUGACCCGCGCUAUCGCACAUCCCAUCCCAUUCGAGUUUUGUUACUUUUUGGAUCCCCAUUUCAGGUGAUUCGAUUUUUGUGGAUUCUUGGAUACUAGUUUUUUGUAGUUCCAUCUGAGAGGCUUGGGUAGUGGUUAGUAGUUGUGAUUUAUUUUUGUGGUGACAAUUAAUUUGGGUGGGGCUAGUGGAGACUGACUGCAAUGGUGAUGGUUGAGAGUGGAACGGAGUCCCCAUUUCUCUGGGACGGUGUGUUUAGAAUGGUAGCAGCUUCACGAAUGAUAGGCAAGUUUUAGCUUUGUUCAGUAAAUGCUUGUAUACUAUGUUAUUUUUAUUCAGAAAAUAUGUUUAGUCCAGUCUAGCCCUAUCCGCACUCUCUCUAAAUUCACUAAUUUUUCCCCGGUUAUAUUUCACUUAAUGUCCUUCUGCCAUAUAGCCUUUCUUUUUACAAGUUUACAUAAUUUUUUUCCUUACAUUUAGAAAUUAGAAGUAACAUUAUUGGAACCUGAAGCCAUAAAACUCACAUUAUUGGAUCUUAUGCUUCCAGUUUAGUUAAGUGCUAAGUUCAUAUAUAAUGUCAUGUCAUGCUCUAAUAUUCAUUAUUCGAUUCAAUCAGUGCUACAUCAUGUGUGAUGCUAACUUAAUAUUAAAUGUUUAUUUAUUUAGAGCCUGAUUGAUUGGGUAUCAAAUCUGCCCAAUCAAAAUUUAGGUAAGCCUAUAAAUUUUAGCACUCCUUUGGUUGGAAUUCAAAAAAUAGCUCACCUAACUAAGUGUUAUUCUAAAAUUGCAAGGUUUUGGUAAAAAAGAUUGACAUGCCUAUAUUUUGACAUUUUGUUAUCCAAACAAGCAGGCCCUUAGUUUUCAUUUUCAAGUCUCCACCUUAGUUCAUGUUUUUCUUUAAAAUACAAUUAUAUAUAUGUUGUUAUUUAUCAAGUGUUCAUUAUAAGUAUCAAUCAUAAUGUUCACUUUUAGUGAUUUUUAUGUGUGAACUUCAGUGCAAGACAAUUUUGAAUGAGCCCUUUAGUUCUUGUUUAUUUUUAAGUGUUCAUGGUAUUGUUGUUUUCAAUCUUGUCUUUCAGGUUAAAUAACUCAGUGUUUUUUUGAUAAAGUCAAGUCUGCAGGUGUAACUGCAAUUGGAUCUAAAUGCCCCAAGAUAGAGAAAGGUGGACUAAGUUAAAAUUGUUGGGAUUCAGGUAAAAAAUAGGUCACAAUCUAAAUGAUUAAUACAAUUGCAUCAUAAAAUGAAGCUUCAACAUUGAUAAAAAGAUAAAUUAUUGAGAAGUUCCCUAUUGGAAUCAUUACCCCGUUACUUAAACAAAUAUUUCUAUGAAUAAUACUGAACCUGAAAUGAUAUGUACUAAGUCGUAGGAACAAAAACUCAGUAAACCAUGAAUAAUACUACUGGUACAGUUGUAUAAUGAUGCUUGACUUUAUAAUGAAUCCAAAAGAGCAACACAAUUUUAGGAUGAUUGACUGAUUUUUUGGGAUCACUCGAGGUAGCCCAAACGUUGCAGAUUAUUAAGGCCACAUGAUCGCUGAAUCCUAUGGUUGCAUUGACAUGAGCGUAGUAGUGGUGAUUGAUUUGGAUAGAUCACGAUCACCUGGAAGAAGAGCAGGAGCAACACAUCCUCCGAUCCACCACCAAUGGAUAGAUAGGAAUGCACCUGGAAAAAAAUAUAUUGAAUAGCGUUCACUAUUUGAAAACUGCCAUGCUUCACCGGCCUUCCAAAUCCCCUGAAAAUCCAAUUCGAACCACUCAUCGAAACUAUACGACAAAGACAUACUGCGACUUCCAGUAACAUAUAUACGAGCUGGAACCAAGGUGGCCGCACAUGACUGGUAAGGACAGCCGUCGUCACUUGAACUGUUGAACACCAGAGGCGCGUCCUCCACCACCAGUCCACCGCGAAGUAGUCUUGCAACAAGCUACUGUCCCUAAACAGCUUAAAAAGCGGAAGAAAGAUGCUUUAUUAUGUCUAAUCAUUUUCACACAAGUUCAUCAUCCUUCUAUAGUUUAUUAUCUAGAUACUCAAAUCUCAUCCGAUCCUAUCCCUUUCAUCUGUUGCAUAAUCAUAUUGAGCGUUCAACUUUUAACAUAGCUGUCGCAUAAACUGUUUAAGAAAAAUAACGAAGCAACAUAGUCCAAUCCUAAAAAAAAUACAUGCCCAAUCUCUUCGUCAAUCUGAUUUACCCUAACCCUAGAUGCAUCAUACAUAUGUUGAAAUCGAACUACCUACAAGAGCUGAGUUCCCUUUUCCUUCACCGGAGGUGUAGUUCAUCCUCUUCUUCAUCCAUGCUGAUGGAGAAGAGAGGGAGGGCAGGGGUGCCUUUCUGCUUAGCACAAAAGAGGGCGGGGGGGGGGGGGGGGGGGGUGAGCAGGCUCCGGCUGCUCGAACCAGAGGGAAUCGACAUGCUUACCUGGAAAAGAAGGGAGGACAUGGUAGGCAUAGGCGGGAGCACCGCAUGCCGCUAGCCAGUGGCGGAGGAAAGGGGAGGGCCACUAGGGCCAUGAUCACAGGCGACAGUCCAUUUCCUCCACGCUGUAGCCCACUGUAGCAUGAAGACCCAGUCUAGCCCGGUUGGCCCAUGGAAUGGCGCUAGGCGUUAGGCUGGCCCAGCCCCUACUGCUAGGGAGCAGAAAUUCUAUCCAUCUUCCGGAAGAUAGAAAGUCUACUUAUCUUUCGCUUUUCGUGCAUGUGGUCAAAGUGAACGGCUGCAUCUCUUUUCCCGUCUCUCCUGUCGCAUGCUCGGAGAUGAGUAUGACAACACGUCAGGGCAGGCAUGCAGAAAGGAUGGGACAGCUAGCAGGUUGGUUGCUAGCCUUGGGACGUUUGAUUUUGAACUUCAAAUCUGAUUUUCUCACUAAUGCUGCAUCCAAUUUUAAUUCCAUUUAAACCAUAGUGUUUAUUAUAAUUUUUUUAACAAAAUGAGCUCUAAUAUGCCUAUAUUAUUAAAAUUUUGAAAUAUCAACAUUUUACAUAUUCAAAUUCAACAUUUUAGAUAUACUACUUCAACAUUCUAGAUAGACUAUUUCAAUAUUUUCAUAUAAACUGUUGAAUUAGUUUAUCCAAAAUGAUGAACUUAAUUUAAAAAAUGUUAGAUAUACUAAUUAAAAACGUUGAAUAUUUUCACUAGUGGAAAUCAAUGCAGAGGCCAAAUACGUCAUAAAGGGAGUUCUGUGACAAAUUUGUGAUGAAUUUUCCUUCGUCGUACAAGUCACGUCGAGUUAGAUCUACCAUGACGAACUUUCAAAAAUGUCAUAGAAUGGUUUUUUCUAUGACAGAAAAACUUUCAGCGCGAAAGCAUAUUUUGGUUCUGUGACGCGUCGAAAAAUGUCACAGAACUACCGGAUCCACGUGUUCCGGUCCACGCUGGCACUUGUCAUGGCAUCGUCCACACUGGCAAGUGACGUGGCUAGGACACGCUAGCACGCCACGUGGCUUCGUCCAUGAUGGCAAGUGACGUGGCCAGGACACGCUAGCAUGCCACGUGGCUUCGUCCACGCUGGCAAGUGAUGUGUCAGGCGGCACGUGCCGCAAAGGGACCGACAUGUGGCGAGCUAGCAUAAGGCCACGUGGCGUGCUAGCAUUAUGCCACAUGUCCUCGACACAUUUGGACACAUGUCAUCUUGCAACCUGGACCACGUGUCAUAUCAAGACAUGGCCACGUGUCGGUUUCCUAUUUGUCCAUGGGUCAUUUCCUAUUUGUCCACAUGUCGUUUUCCUGCUCGCCCAUGUGUCCUCGCCUAAUUCGGACACAUGCCUCUUUCCUAUGUGUCCACGUGUCAUUUUACUGUUCUUCCACGUGCCCUUCUCCUGUUCGCCCAUGUGUCAGUUGCCUGUUUACCCACGUGUCUUUUUCCUAUUUGCCCAUGUGUCCGUUCGGUUUCUGCCAAGUGUCUCUUGCCUGUUUGUCCAUGUGUGCUUGCCUGGUUCAGUCACGUGUCUUUUCCUGGUUCGGUCACGUGUCGGUUCCCUGUUUGUCCAUGUUUCCGUUCCUAGCUUGUCGACGUGUCAUUUUCUUGUUUGCCUAUGUGUCCUUUCCUCGUUCUACCACGUGUCGGUUCCCUAUUUGUCCACGUGUCCGUUCCUAGCUUGCCCACAUGUCAUUUUCCUGUUUGCCCAUGCGUUAUGCCCAUGCUAGGCCACGUGGCAUUUCCCCAUGGGACACGUGUUCUUUUCUGGAUAUUACACGUGCCAUAUCAUACAUGUCCACGCCAUACAAAACCAUUUCAUCAUAGAAUAACAAAUGAUACAAUAGAAUUAUUCCACAAAUAAGUUACAACCAAAUAAGUUCAUGACACCACUAAAAUUAGCUAAUUGACUAUUCAGAAGCACACUACGACAUAACACAAUCACCGGAGGUCAUGACUACAGUUCCACACACAUAGGAUCGGGGCUGAGAAGAGGUACCAAGGUUGUUCUGGGUCAGGAGCUGUGAAAGCUGCGAAAGGAUACGAUUGCUAUCUUCUUGUUUCUUUUCAGCUCCUCAUACUGUCUUUGAGUUCUCGCCAGCGCUUCUUUAGUUUCUUCACUCUGCUUCUUUAGUUCUUCCAAUUCUUUAUGCAAAACUGCUGAACCUUGUCUUUCAGCAGCAAGUUCUUCAUGAAGUGCUUCUUCACCAGCUGACGGAUACUUUGAGGAGGGAGUGGCUAUACCAGCAUUCUUCAAGAAAGUGGUGUUGGAGCUGUUCUGGGAGAGGACCUUGGAAACAACCUCAGCACUAGCCAAUCUUGGCUAUCCAUCAGCAACAGCUUCUGCCUGCAUAGUUUCCUUUAACGUCUAGAAAAUGUAAAGAUGAACUAUUAGUUUACUAACUAUACUAAAAAAAAGGAGUACAUUAAACAAACUAGGAACAAAGCCUGAUUGGAUAACUGCUACUAAAUAUUGUUAAUAUAACACACUUCCAAAAUAAGGGGCAGCCAUGCACGUUAGCAAUAUAUGAUGCAUCAUGUACAGAGAGUGUUGGACAAAGAAGGAUGAAAGUCUUGCAGAAGGGACUUACAACUGUGUCUCUAGCCACGGCACCCAUACCCUUCUUGCUGCUAGUAUGGCAGACCUUGAAGGCUUCCACGGCAUCCAUUUCUUUGUCAGCUUCAUCAAUUUGGUGCUGGGGUUCAUCGUUGUUGACUUCAGUGUGUUCAACCUCGUUGUUCUUGUUCUUGUUCUGAUGUACAAAAUGCAUGAAUCAAACUUAAUGAAUAAUGAGACUUUCCAUGAGAGACAGACUGAAGUGCAAGUGUGUAUGUGUGUACUUAUUUAAGGAAGUAGAAGAAUGGAAAGGUUACAUUAGAAGCGUGUUGACACUUACAUAUGAAUGUAAUUGUGCAACGUAGCAACGAGAUCCUGUUGCUGGAGGAAAUAGGACUCUGGCCUGGUUUGGCUUGUUCCAGUAAGAAACUGCCUGCAAGAGAUGUAUGUGUUAGUCUCCAUCAUAAGUACAUAUUCGGAGGCACAUCAAGAGAAAUUACCUUGUUGUGUGCAUUUGACCACUUGUCAACAAGUUGACACCACUGUGCAUCAACCAUGUUGGAGAUAGGAGAGAUUGUGGGGAUCUCAUUUGCAGGGAUGCCAACAAAGUAUUGCUGCUUCAACUUAUACUGCCUCGGUUGUAUGGAUGACUUGAACACACUGACACAAGCAUCUGCUAUUGGUUCGUGCCUUGUGUCAAUUGCUAACCUGCCAUAGUGAUUAGAAUUGAAAUCCGAGUUACACAAGGGCCAUGUAAGAGUUGGAUGUAAAAAGGGACUAGUAGAUAGGCACUCACAAAUAGCCUUACCACAAAGCCAUCAAAAUAUUCAGACCAUGCUUUGUAUUCUUUCCAAUGGGUCAAGAUAGGAACUUGAGACCUAACAGCAACACCAACCACUUAUGCAAACUUGGCAGCUUGCAUCGGAUCAUGCGACCUUUGGUUCCCCUCAGCAACAGAGAUGGGCAUCCUUCUCCUCAUAGCUUUGUUCAUCUUGUCAAGCAUAAUUCUCCGUGUUGCUUGCCUCACCUUCCUUGGGCCACCUCUUUGUGUAGGUGCUGCAGAGAUUUCAUUCAAAUUCUCAUCAUUCAUCAAAUAUAAAACCAUCAGCACUAAAAAGCUUUAGGGUCAAUGAACCAACCUUCAGUUCUGGAAUCCGACUGUCCAGAGUUGGUAUUCCAUCCUGUCUCAUCUUCGUUGAGGCCAUUACCAUCAUCUGGACAUGGUGUCCAGUCUCAAAAAGGACUUGAACAACCAUUCAAGUCCUUAUGACAGCUAGUGUUUUCUGCAACUGCUGGCGAUUCUUCCUGCACAACAUUGUCACCACCGCUACUGUUUUCUACAAUUGUCGGCAAUUCUUGAUGCACACGCCGUUGAGGUGCUCCUACUAUGUGCAGCCUUUUUAGUAUCCUUGAUGAAGCUCCAAGAGUGACAUCUGUUGGUGGGAUUGACCUCACCCUCUUGGAUUGUCUUCCUCCUCUUCCAGGAGCCAUGGCAACACUUCUUCUCUCCCUCUUUGCACAUGCCUUCCUACAUCUAGUUCGCACAGGGGCUUGUAGAUUUCAAAAGGCAUAAGUUGUAACCAUGUGAAUAAAUUAGAAGCACUUAUGAGCAGUGGAAAUAUGUAGUCCCUGCAUUGGAAAUAACUAGUGCUGCUUCUAACCAUCAAAGAUAUCUAGUCCAUGCAUCCCCCGCCCCACAGCCAAGAUAGAAGAUGCACCUCAUUUGCUAGGGGUGUCGGCUCCUCCUCUAAGUCCGAAUCAUCAUCACCAUCAUCGGGCUCCUCAUCUUCAAGGAUGUAAUAUGAUAAAUCAGACCCUUCGCCAUGACAAGCAUCCCUGCCUAACCUUUUCCGCUUGCUACCUUGACUUUUACCCUUUGAAGUUGUUUCUUUCGAGACAAUGAACUAAACUCUGUUGAUAAACCACUCACGCCAAGCUCCUCCAUUAUUCUGUUAUUUUCCCUGAUGCGGGCUUGCCGUUUCAUUUCGUAUUCACGGGCUUCCCAUUGCCAAUCGUAUUCACUUUGUGUAGGGUCUUACAUGUGUGAAACAGAUUUCAAGUAUUAGGGAGCUAGGUUGAUUACAUAUUCAUGUUUGGAAGUAAAAUGCAGACCCACUAGAACUUCCAAUCACGAAUUGUGGAUGAAUGUGUCCCUACCUAGAACCACAGAAGGUAGUUGGAUUUUUCAUACCUCUUGCUGCUCGGCCUCGGCGUUUGACCAUUGUUGGGGUAGCUGCACGUCAAAGAUGGUGAGGCUGCUACGAUUCUGCGGUCGUCAUCGAUGUUGUGGCAGAUCCAGUGCGACGGGCAUUGUCAAAGGUUUACCAGAUCUGGUGCGGCGGUAGUCGGCGAUGGGGAAGCAGAUCCGGUGCGGAGGUAGUGGCCGACAAGGAAGCUGAUCCGGUGCGGCGGUAGGUGCCGAUGGGGAAGCAGCUCCAGUGUGCUCAGCGUUGUCGAUGCGAUUGAAGCUCCAGUGCUGUGGUCUCUGGUGGAGCGGAGGGGUCGAGUGCCGGCGUGUUGGAGCCUACCAACGCAGAGGGGAAAGGCGAGAGGUGGAGGCGGAACUGGACGGAGGGAUGGAAAAGGGGCAAUGGAUAUGGGGCGCGUGAGGGAGACUGUCACAAAUACCCUUUAGAGUUUGGUUACCGCCGUAGUGGUGUGGCUUUUGCUUGAGGGUACAAGGGACAUUUUGGGGGAAAAGUUUUCGGCUUCGGCGGGCAGAGUUGGCACCCGGUGAAAAUUUCAGACCAUGGUGUCCCUCUGACCCACGGACCCCACAUGUCGGUGUUCUUAGAAUCCCUUAUUAUUGCCGCGACCAUUUCUUGUGAACAAGACUCUUUCUCUUUUGAAUCUCCAAUUUGAAAUUUGGAUUAGUCUUUCUCCCUCUUACAACCUUGAAAUGACUUCAUUCUUUUUGUAAAGUGCAUCUAAAAUGAAGCUCGAUCCAAUCAUUGCUCUGUGUCACUCUCUUUCUAUGCAAAUGCACUCUUUUUUGAAAAUGCCAUGGUUAUUUUCACUCUAGCUUUUUCCAUGAAUGUGAAAACAUACGCAUCAAAGUCACUAGUGUUCAUCACACACAGAUGCAUAUCGAAGCACUUGUGCUCAUCACAUAACAAAAGUAAAAUCACACCUACAUUCUACCUCAACGCAUAACCAACCCCCAUGGCAACAAGGGCUACAACCAUGAUGAUGGAGAAAAUCAUAGUUUGGGUCAAUUUAUCCACCUUUGCUUCCAACUCGUUGCUCUUCAACAUGCCACCACCUGCUGCAGGGCUCCCAGCAGCAUGAAUCUGCUCCAUGGACUGGAAUUCUUGAAUCUCUUCUUCAUCAUCAAAAUGUACGUCGACCAUCUUUACUUUCACCAAAUCAUUCGAGUAACCCCUCUGCCAUCUGAACUAGCCACAACACUGAAUGAACAAGAAACACUUGCUUAAACCCUAUCAAAGAUCUCAAAGCACAAAAACCAAAUCUAAGUUGAAUCCACUCAUCGGGCAUUUGACAUACACCCGACCGAUGUUCUCAUUCUCCUUCUUCGACCGGGCCUCACGCACCCUUGCCCUCUUGCAGCUCCUGCAAAUCAUCAUGGGCAAGAAAAUCUCCUCGUCAACAAUCUUUGGCAUUUUCCUUCACCCGGAUGAGGACUCUGCAAGAUGCGACAUCCUUACGCGCCGGCGGCAGAGGCAGGCGGUCAACAAGGCUAGAUUCCGGCGGCAAUGGCGAGCGGCGAGCAGAGAAGCAGCAGUGAGGUGCAUCUGGCUCUGGUAGGCCUAAAGGAUAAGGUAGGGAUAGAAGGAUCCUUUGGCGUGGGAUGUGCCAAGACACGUCAACAACCUAGGCUUAAACGCAUUGUGAGUGAAAUCCUGAAUGCAUGGAAAUUACUUAAAUAUCCCUAAGCAUCUCCCCCUUCCCUGCCUACUUGUCUUCCUCUUCCUUGUAACACCCUAGGUGUUUAAAAUCCUAAGCAAGAAAACCUAAACAUAGCAUCUUGCAUAAUAACCCAGAAUCAUUGAAACAAUGCAUUUAAUUAUGGGUGUGAAUAUGCAUGUGUAUGUGCAUGAGCAUGUAUGUGUGCAUAUGAGGUUUUUCAUAAAUAUGUUCAUAAACAUAUAUGCUCAACUUGUCAUAACAAAAUGUAGCAUAAAAAUACACUCAUAUUUUAGUACCUUACAAAGUGUACUUCAAACACCAUUUGCAAAUUCAAAUUUUAAACACAUAAGAUGAAUAGGAAUUCAAAUCCUAGUAGUCUUAAAUUUAAGAUAACUUCUUAACUAAAGCUCAAAUGAACUUUGAUCCAAAACUAAAGUCGUAGAGUUUCAAAUUCUCUACAACUUUCAUGAUGGCAGAUUUCAAAGUUUCUUUGCAAACUUUUGAGAAAAAUUCAUUUGAACCCGGGCCCUCACUCUUUCUCUCUCUUCCUUUACUCUCCUUCUCUCUCUCUCCCUCCCCUGUUCUAAAACGUCGAGAGGUAGGGGCCGCCGGCCACCUAGAUGGCGAUGCCUGCUGGCGAGCUGCACCAAAGGGUAGUGCCCCGACAGGCCUCGGUAGGCCCGCGGCCGAAUCACCCUCCCCUACCCCAAACCCACCCAUGCUCGAGGUGCACACGCCACUGUUAUCGCCAUAAUUUAGCUGGGCCAGAAGGUGGGCCGUGAAGCAAGAUGGGUUCAAAAGAUAAUCGUAGUGGGCUUGCAAAUCGGCCCUGUGCGGGCGUUUGAGGCCAGUAUUGGCCAUGUAUCUAGAUAGGUGUGUGCGUUUAAAAUAGUUAGAUAGAGAUAGCUAGAAUUCAUGUUGUAGUUAGUUAGGAUUGGUUAGGGAAGGCAAGUCUCCGGACUAUAAAUAUGUACCUUGGAUUAUGAAUAAACCAUGAAGAAAACAAUCAUUCACAACUACUCUCGGCGCAUCGCCACCCCUAUUCUAGGGUUUCUCGGGUAAGUGCCGUGCAGCCCCGAUCACGCUACGCGUCGCGUGAUCAGGGCAGCAUCGUUCCUGCCUGUCUACCUUUGUGUUUCUCGUACUAAAGCGUUGUUGAUGGUGAGUGACACUAGUUAUAUUGGCGUUUAUAGAGUAGCAUCAGCUCUUUCAUAUUUUAUUCAUGCAUCGUUUGUUACAUAUAAAUGUUUAGCUGUCCUUGUGUUCGAUCUCGGAUGUAAGGGCAGCACCUUGCUCUGUUCUUGUUUAGUAGAUCCAAUCCGUUAUGGUUAGUCUUCGUUCAUCGAAGAUUUAGCUUAACAUCUACAUGAUUAGACCCUUCAAACGGGUUGAAUGUUCCAGCAGUACGAUUGAUGCUUUGUAUCAACCUAAAGAGGGAUUGUUUCGGGAAUCGGCUCUCUGUUGGUUUUUAGGCCUCUGUUUAGGUUGCUAUUCUGUUACCUUUCAUAUCUGUUAGGCUCAAUUACGUGUAGGAUGUUUCGGUUAUGCAGUGAAAGCUUUAACCGUUGUAGAUCAGAUUAGCUUACUAGUUGCAGAGCAAGUUUUAUUUUACCAUCGGAUAUGCGUGCUUUAUUCAAAUACUUAGAUCCGAUCUGAUACUGGAGAUAAUCGGCUCUUUACAGCCGAUAUCGGGAAUUGCCUGAUGAGCCGAUCACGGCUCGGACUAAUGUUUACACGUGUCUGUGCAUGCAAAAAACUAACAUAAAUCACUUCUACACCUUCCUGAUCAGGUAUAAGGUGAGGUGGCUCGCCUAACAACCCGGACGCCAGGUCGUGUGCCGGAUCCUGGGCCAUUGACCGAGGGACUGGGGCUCACCAGCAGUCCCAGGAGCCUCUUGGCUCCUCGUGUUGCCUGUCGCUGCUGGCCGGUGGGUUUUGACCGACAACACAUUCUGGCACGCCCAGUGGGACCAUCUUCAUCAACUACAUCGACUUCUGCUGAUGGGAUGAUGAGGGAGGAUCCGAUCAUGUACAGGUAGUUGCCUGCUGAGCACAAGCAGAAAUAAGACAAGAUCAAGGCUCUCUUUGAAGCCGAUCUCAUCGGCUCUUUCGAGAAGACCCGCCACCACGGCGUUAGGUGGAAGGGGGUUUUCACCUAAAGGCACUCUUGAUGACGUGGACCUGUCGACUCCUUCAGAAGAUCGUACCAAAGCUCUGCGCCAGGAAGUAAACUACAUGGUGGCCCACUCGCUGCAUCGGCACUCCGAGAGCCUGGUGAACGCUUUCGAGCGUGUCGCGCUGCGCGUGGUCCAGGAGAUCAUGAAGCAUCAAUACUCUCCAACAGGACCAACCCUGGGGAGUCAUAAGGGAGAAUUGCCAUUCCAGGCCAAACCACCGCUGCCUUAUGCGCUCGCGGCUCUGGAGUUACAUGGCUCCCAGCCUACGUCGUCUACAAGGUGGGAGGUGACCCUGUGGAUCACCAGUUCUUCAGCAAGCUGCCAAAGGAGAUCCCGCACGGAUACAUGUGUGCUUAUAUACCAGACAGCAAAAAACCAGUACAUUCGGUGCAGAGGGCGGCUGGAGGAGUUUCCAUGGCAGAUGUUGACAAACAAGUGUGGCUAGCUGCUUAUGCCACCGGGCCGAGUCAUGACAGUACGCACUCGGCCCAGGAGCGCAGACGGUAGACCAGAUCAGUGCCAUCUUAAGAGAUCAAUUUGGCAUUCUACCAAAGAGGAGGACGAUCGACUAUACUAAGCCGUAUCCCAGUGACUAUGAUCUAAUUCCCCUGCCACCCAAGUAUCGGCUCCCUGAGUUCACCAAGUUCAGUAGAGCGGAAGGAUCUAGCUCCAUCUAGCAUGUGAGCCGGUACAUGGCGCAAUUAGGAAUGAUCUCGGUGUCGGAUCUCUUGCGAGUAAGGUUCUUCUUGCAGUUUCUCACAGGGCCAACCUUUGGAUGGUACACAUCAUUAGGCCCUGAUUCCAUCCGCACCUGGAAGCAGCUGGAGGAACAGUUUCAUAUUCAAUAUCACUCGGAAGCUACAGAGGCAGGGAUUGCCGACUUGGCACAAGUACGGCAGAAGCAUGGGGAAAUCGUAGCGGAAUAUAUCCAACGGUUCAGAGAGGUCAAGAACCGAUGCUACUCGACCCGUAUUUCAGAGAAGGAGGCGGUCGAGUUGGCAUUCUUGGGACUCCUAAAGCCAAUCAAGGAUCUGGCUUUCCAAUUGGAGUUCAAUUCCUUGGCGCACUUUGUGCAAAAGUUAACAACAUAUGAGCAGCGCCACCUAGAACUAUACCAGGACAGGUUCAAGCGUCAAGUAACAUUGAUCGACAUAGAAGACGCUGAGGAUUUUAGGGAUGACCAAGAAGUAGCAGUUGCAAAAUGGACCCGUGGGGCAAAUCCUAUGUCCUAUAAGUGGGUGAAACAGCAGGGACCUGCAAAAGGUUUUGACUUCGACGUGAGCAAAGUUGAAUAGAUAUUUGAUCUAUUAUUGAAGGAGAAGCAGUUGAAGUUACCUGAAGGCUGCAAGCUUCCUAUAGCACAAGAGUUGCAAGGGAGAUCGUAUUGCAAGUGGCAUCAUUCUUUCACUCACAAUACUAGCGACUGCAAAGAACUCCGUCGCCAGAUCCAAUCGGCUAUCAAGAAAGGCCGAUUGAUCUUAGGUCAAACUGCCAUGAGGGUCGAUACCCAGCCUUUCCCAAGUGUGAAUAUGGUGGAGGGUUAUGACCGGUCUGCGAGGUGACAAUUAGAUUUCGCACUUGGCAUUAACAUGGCAGGGCUUGCACCACGCCGCCGCACCAGGAAUGAAGAGGCUGAUCCCUGCGAUCGGCCCCAAAAAGGGGAAAAGAGAUAUAUCACGGAAGAACAAGUAAGGCAUGUCAGGAAUCAAUGACCGGCUUCUUUAGAUCUCUUCAAAAGGUAUGAAUACCAGUACCAGCAACGUCUCCAGCGCGAGUCGGAGGAGGAAGAGUAUGAACGCCGUACUGGGAAAAGUUUGAAGAAGCGGGAAGAUACACGUGAUCAUUGGCAUUGCCCGUUCUUCAAGUAUUGCUGGGACUCUGGCAUGAGCCGAUUGCCUACUACUAAGGAUUGCCCAGAGUGCGGAUCCCGGAAGCGUGAUACAGAUGGGGUCUUGGCUUUUCGAUGAUUGGGACCUGUACCGACCCAGCAUGAGCAAAUUCAGCCACCACGCAGAAGGGUGGACUUUGAAGAGGAGGAGGAUAAGUAUCAUCGGCCGCGCUGGUGCCCCGAUGGACUUAACCAUUCCCAGAAAUGCAGGGUACAGCGGCUGUGCAGCCGGUAGGAAGCCGAGGCUAGAUAUCUUGAGACACUGAGGAAGGUGCGCCCGAAUUUGGUGGACAAAGUCCAUUACACUUAGAAAAGGGAGUCGCGCCCUCUCAAGAAGGAGUGGCAUCCAAAACCAACAAGAGCUGAUGUGAAGACCUCGGCUGAUGCACACAUGGUGUUCGUACUCCCCACGGAGUUCCACGCUCGAGGGCGUGAAGAAUUACCAGUAGCCCAGCUUGACUUGGGGCCACGGCCAGUUAUAUUUGAGAAGUCCCGAGCAAAGAACUACAAGCAUUUGAAGGCUUUAUAUCUCAAGGGUUACAUAAACGGCCAACCUAUCAACAAGAUGUUGGUCGACAUAGGAGCGGCAGUUAACAUAACGUCAUAUUCAGUGCUUCGUCAGUUGGGGCGGUCCACUGGAGAUCUGAUCAAGACCAACAUCACGCUGAGCGAUUUCAAUGGCCAAACAUCAGAGGCACAAGGCGUCCUUAGUGUGGAUCUGACCGUUGGAAGCAAGACUGUCCCAACCUCUUUCUUCAUCAUCAAUAGCAAGAGUACAUGCAAUGUCCUACUUGGCAGGGAUUGGAUCCAUGACAACUGCUACAUCCCUUCCACAAUGCAUCAGUGUCUAAUUCAGUGGGAUGAAGAUGAAGUAGAGGUGGUUCAUGCAGAUGACUCGAUGAGCAUCUGGGACGCGGAGGACCAAGAGCUGAUCUUAGGGAUCAGUUUGGAAGGCUGUGACCGCGUCAAAGCUACAAAAAAUGGGGUGAGGCUGGUCUUAUCCACUGGCCUUACAGAGUAGACAGAACACAAAGAGCGAGCUGCUCUGACGCACUCGGCAAGGCCGAUCCCGAAAAAUAAAAUGUAAAUUUUUGAUGACAAGUGUUUUAUAUGAUCAUAGCAGUUACAGGGAGGCCCACUCUAGCAGCCGGCCAUACUUCAAUUGUAAAAUUUCAAAGAUCAAUGAAGGUUAUAAAGUGGCCGAUCUCAACGAUCAGCCAAAAUUCUUUUUGUUAUCUUCUCUGUCCAUCUGCAGCAUUGACUUAACAUAUAACGGAAAAUUAGGAUACGGGUUUACAUCAGCUUACGAGCUCGAUGAAAUGGAUAUUGGUCCUGGGGAUAAGCCACGACCAAUAUUUAUCAGCAAAAAGUUAAGCCCGUGUCUAUGAGAGCCAAUGAUAGCUUUGUUGUAGGAGUACACAGAUUGCUUCGCCUGGGAUUAUACGGAGAUGCCUGGGUUGGACAGAAGCAUAGUCGAGCAUCAGCUCCCUCUCAAGAAGGGAUUUCGGCCAUUUUAGCAGCGAGCGCGGCAAAUGAAGGCUGAAGUUUUGGUGGAGGUCAAGAAAGAGGUGGAGAAAAUGCUAGAAGAAGGAUUCAUCAGGCCUUGCAGGUAUGCCGAGUGGAUUUCAAGUGUCGUACCUGUGCAAAAGAAAGAUGGCUGAUGGCGAGUCUGUGUGGACUUCAGAGAUCUCAACAGGGCUACUCCAAAGGACGAAUACCCGAUGCCUAUCGCGGAGAUAUUGAUCAACGCAGCUGCUGGUCAUAAGAUCUUGAGUUUCAUGUACGGCAAUGCUGGCUAUAACCAGAUCUUCAUAGCUCCGGAGGAUAUAAACAAGACCGCGUUCAGAGUGCCUGGGGCAGUAGGACUAUUUGAGUAUAUGGUUAUGACCUUCAGGUUAAAGAAUGCUGGCACUACUUAUCAACAUGCCAUGAACUACAUUUUCCAUGAUUUGGUCAGCAAGUUGGUGGAGAUUUAUAUUGACGACAUCGUGGUGAAAUCUGCGUCGGUUGAAGGGCACUUGGGGGACCUACGACAAGUUUUAGAAUGAACAAGAAGGUUCAGCCUUAGGAUGAAUCCAAAGAAAUGCGCUUUCGGCGUAUCAGCCGGUCAUUUCUUGGGUUUCUUGGUUCAUGAAAGAGGAAUAGAGAUCGGCCUAAAGAGUCAAGAAGCUGUGAGAAUGAUGGUGCCACAUACUAUGAAGAGGGAGCUCCAGCAGCUUAUUGGUAAGAUCAACUUUGUCAGAAGGUUUAUUUCCAAUCUCUCUGGGCGGAUUGAGCCUUUUAUGGAGUUGGUGAAAAUUAAAGCCAAUGAAGAGUUUUGCUGGGGGGUAGAGUAGCAACAGGCAUUUGAAGAGAUCAAGGAGUAUCUGUCAAAACCACCCAUGUUAGUUCCACCCCAACAAGAUAGGCCAUUCUAUGUGUACUUAUGAGUAGGUGACACCUCCAUCGCUUCAGGAGUAAUGCAAGUGCAUGACGGCAAAGAGAGGGUUGUGUUCUACCUUAGCAGAAGAAUGUUAGAUGCGGAGACAAGGUACCUUGACAUUGAAAAGUUAUGUCUUUGUCUAUUCUUUACAUGCACAAAGCUUCAUCAUAUCCUGCUAUCAGCCGAGACAAUCGUCAUCGUCAAAUCAGAUGUUAUCAAGCACAUGCUAUCGGCUCAUGUGUUGAAAGGCCGACUUGGAAAGUGGAUGUUUGCAUUGUCAAAGUUUGAUAUCCGAUACCAACCCAUGAAGGUAGUCAAAGGACAGGCACUGGCAGAUCUCAUCACAGAAAGGAUCAACACUGACAUAGCAGCACUCUCCGUACACACAUGAGCUAUGUACUUUGACGGAUCGGCUUGUGGAGAUGGAUGUGGCAUAGUAUCCUGCUUGUGUCGCCUUAGAGGGCAACGUAUUCUUUUUCAAUCAGAUUACCUACCACUUGCACCAAUAAUCUAGUAGAAUAUGAAGUGGUGCGUAAGGGUAUGGAGUUGCUUCUUGUGGCCGGAGCUGAAGCAGUGGAAAUUUUUGGGGAUUCAAAGUUGGUGAUUUCUCAGCUCACAGAGGAGUACAGGUGUGAGAGCGAGUUGCUCUUCCCAUUAUGGGUACAAUGUCAAGAGCUGAUGGCCCAAUUUAGGUAUAUAAAUUUCUAUUGGAUACCUAGGAUGCAAAAUUCAGAGACUAAUGAUCUUGCAUAGAUGGCUUCAGGAUAAAAGGCUGUGAUGGAUAGAGCUGAUCUAAAGGGAUACCUACUGGACCAAGGAGAUUGAAGAGCCGAUAUCUUCAAUUACUUGAAGGAUUUGGCUCGGGGAGCACCCAAGAGGAUACGAUACAAGGCCAUGAAAUACAUUCUGAUAGGGGAUGACAUGUUCUACAGGACUUUAGAAGGUUUAUUGCUCAAAUGCUUGGGGCCGAUUGAAUCUAAUCGGCUCUUACACGAAGUCCACGAAGGCACUUGUGGGACUCACCAAUCGGCUCAUAAGAUGAAGUGGCUGAUUAGGCGAUCGGGUUAUUACUGGCCCACCAUGCUUGAAGAUUGCUUCAAAUAUUAUAAAGGAUGUCAGGCAUGUCAGAGGUUCGGGAAAAUACAGAUGGUACCAGCAUCAGUAAUGAACCCUAUCAUCAAACCAUGGCCGUUCAGAGGCUGGGGUAUGGACAUGAUCGGCAAGAUUAAUCCUCCAUCAAGUAAAUGCCACCACUUUAUCUUGGCCAUCACAGAUUAUUUUACCAAGUGGGUGGAGGUAGUUCCUAUGAAGUCAGUAGCAUCUAAGGAUGUCAUUAAUUUUGUCAAGGAACGUGUCAUUCACAGGUUCGGGAUUCCUCAAAUCAUCACAACAGAUGGAGGGUCAGUUUUUAUUUCAGAGGAGUUCAAGAAGUUCACUUCUGACAUGGGCAUCAAGCUGAUUAGGUCAUCUCCAUAUUAUGCCCAAGCAAAUGGACAAGCUGAAGCGUCCAAUCAGAGUCUUAUCAAGUUGAUCAAGAAAAAGAUCGAUGAGCAUCCUAGGCGUUGGCAUGAGGUCUUAUCAGAGGCAUUGUGGGCAUAUCGUAUUUCAUGCCAUGGAGCAACAAAAACUUCUCCUUGUGUACGGGCAGGUGGCUGUAUUACCAUGGGAGAUUAUGGCGGCUCGAGGCGCAUAGAGUUCUAAAAUGACUUAACAGCUGAAGAGUAUGCUGCUCUGAUGAGCAACAAUAUUGAGGAUCUCACGGAGCUCAGACUUUGGUCACUUAAGAAGAUCAAAGAAAAUGAGGCCAAAGUAGCCCGUGCGUACAAUAAGAAAGUCAAGCCAAAGGAAUUCCAAGUUGGAGAUCUGGUUUGGGAAGCGCUGCUACCAUUGGGGACUAAAGAUGCGGCGUAUGGCAAAUGGUCUCCAAACUGGCACUGGCCUUAUAGGGUUGACCAGGUCCUAUCUGGGAACGCAUAUAUGCUUGAGGAGUUAGAUGGCGUCAAGUUCCCGGUGGCGGUCAAUGGUCAACAUCUCAAGAAGUACUUCCCAAGUAUGUGGGAUGAUGAGCAAUAAAGCCGAUGCUACGCAUCAAUCCAUGAACCGAUACGAUCAGAUGGCCCGCACAAGAGAAAGCCGACGCUACGCGUUAGGAUAUGAGCCGACAGGACCUGAUGACCCGUACAGGUGAAAGCCAAUGUUACACAUCAGGCUGGACACAAAGAAAGAGGGCUGAUACGUGCAGUCGGCCCACAUAUAUAUAAAAAAAGUACUUUGUACCCAGCGCACUGAGUUGGUCGAAUCGCCGAUGUACAACCAUCGACUUUAGAAUCUUAAUUCGGAUACAUGCAGGUUUAUCUUACAAGGGAUGAUUACAAGGAAGUCUACUUAAGGAACUCAUCAAUGGCGGCGAUGGUUCAAGGCGGACGCGAUCAGCUUCAGCAAUCACUGCUUCAUCGUCCUUGUCCUCUCCUAACACCACCUACCUACUCAAAGCGCUCAGCUCUAUGAGUUCUAUAUUCAGUUGGGCGGUCAAGUCUUUUGCUUCUCGUUUGGAGCUGGCAAUAAGGUUCUUCUCUUCCUUGAUGCGCUGCAAUGUCAGAGGAUCACUUCCACUUGGGAGUUGAUUUCGCGGAGCCAGGCUGGAUUCGCAUGAUGGCCUUUGACGGGGGAGGUGCGUUUCUGCCAAAAAGGACCACGGGGGCAACUGGUGAAAACUGGAAGGUGGAGCCAUCAUCGUUCCUAGGCUCCGGACCAUCUUCUUGCUACAGAGAAAAUGAAUGGAAUCAGAGAAGGGGCUGAGUGGAGUUAGGAGGAAAUACUCAACUGUUGGUAAUACCUCUCCUUCAAGGGCUUCAUGUUCAGCAUCAAUCUAUUGCAGCAUCAGCCCUAGGGCUUUCCAGAAGACAUGAGUGUUCCACAAUGACCACCAGCUCUCGAAUCCGAUGGCUGAAGAGGUGAAUGAAAGGUCGACGGGGAUUGGAAGGAGAAGAUCAGUGAAUAGGCUGUAGCAUCUUUGGCUGGUAAGGGCAUCAGGCAGAUCAGCUCUACUUGUCGUCAAAUGGUGAAGGAAGAAGUGGGGAGGAACCUGCCCGAGACCAAAUUGCCGGGCUGCUACGACCGGCUGGUAGAAUUCAUAACCGGGCUUGAUGAUUCAGUUAGAGGUGCUCAUACCAACUGGAAGGAAGCACGGGCGAAUCAUGAUAGAGUAUAAAAGUCGAGUGCUAUCAUCAUUGGCAAAAUCAGCCAAUCUAAAGGUGAUUGGGUUCUCAAAAAUUUUAGAAUCAGUAUAGGGAAGGAAGAUAGGGUUGUCCAGACCCCAAUAGAAAAUCCUAAACCUGUUUGAAGCAGCUGAGGGGUUCAACUUGCUGCCAGGAAUACUGUAUAGAGCCUGGCCGAAACUGGUACAUCUGACUCGCCUCCCACUUUGAUCUGGAAUGGAAUUAUUGGCCAAAACAUGGAAGUUUGGUAUGAAAUCCUGAAAGUGUAGGUGAGCCCAUAACUGGAUGAACCACCAGGGACCACCGAUCCUGAGUUUCUUCUGGGUAAGUAGGCUCAAAGACAUCAAGUGGAGAUAUCUGUAGACUUCUCCAAGGAACAAUUUACCAAGGCCAACAGGAUUACCUUUGGCCAGUUCAUAUGCUAGGGGGAGAUAGUUCUUGGUUGGCGCAAGGGAAGGACCGCAGAAUAAGAAGUGUUCCAACCAAAGACUCAGAAAGGCCGUAUGUUCCUUCUCAGUCACAGGGCCUUUGGUUUUGAUAUGCUGGUUCAGGUAUGGACCCCAGUUUGUGCACUCUAUUUUGGAGGAUAGUUUGAAGGGGACUUUGGGCAGUCUGAAGGCAGAGGGGCAAGAUGAUGAGAUGUCCAAACCAGUAAUCAUCACUAUGUCCAGGAGGGUUGGAGUCAUCGGCCCGUGGCCAAAUAAGAAGCAAUUCAAGGCAUCAGACCAAAAGUAGCCGAUGGUUUUUAGAAGGUUCUCGUUCUUCUUAAGAGGAGAUAGAGACAGAGACAGAGCAUCGGCUAUCCCUAUGGUCUCCCAUGUGGGCUAGUAGAUCUUUGCUAUUCUGUUAUACCAGGUCACCCAGCCCUCGGGAGGAUUUGGCCAGGCACGUAGGCUGUCAGCCUAGGAAUCUAAAUCUAUGUUUUGGCUCACGAAUGGAAUUCGAUUGGCCUCACAAGAAAUCAGAUCUACGGGUUUCUCGUAAGAACGAGGCCUGAGACAAAAAGAAUUGGGGGAAGAAGGAUGCGGCAAAAGAAUAUUUGAAACCUGAAGAAACAAUAAAAGCCAAAUAACCGGAGAAAGAUCAUUUAAUGGUUCAAGGGAUCUAGUAAUUGCUGCAUUAAAUUAGCAAAGGUCGGAGUUUUACCUUCAGACCAAGGACGCCCGCAUCGGCAUUCAAAGAUCCUGCCAUCUGAAACCCCAAUGAAGAUCGAGAACCUGGAAACUGGAUCUAGGGUUGGUGGCGCAAGUUGAGUUCGUGCUCUAAGGCUUUGGUCCGGGUUUUUGCGAUUAUGGUUUAUGAGCAAAGAGUUUUGAAGAAUAACUUGGAUUUGGGAAAUCUUUGAAGAUCUGUUUUAGGAAGGUUCUGGAUUUAAGCAGAAAAUGGAAUUGAUUUCAGAAUCAACUUAGAUCUAGAUCAGCACUUUAAGGAAAGGAACCGAUGCGUUGCCAUCGGCUCCCAAGAGAUCAGCUUCUUGACAAGUUGCGGUUAAAAUAAAAGGAUUUUAUUUAUAAAGGGAAAUGGUUACAAAAGGGGAGCCGAUUGCUCCUAGAUCUACCACCAGUAGGUGCCGGAGAAAAAAAUGGUUUCAGAAUAAUUAUUGCCGAUGAAAAAGAAAAAAUGGUUUUAGAAUAAUUAUUGCCGAUGAAAAAGAAAAAAAUGGUUUCAGAAUAAUUAUUGCCGAAACCAGGGGGCAUAUGUUAUCGCCAUAAUUUAGCUGGGCCAGAAGGUGGGCCGCGAAGCAAGAUGGGUUCAAAAGAUAAUCGUGGUGGGCUUGCGAAUCGGCCUUGUGAGGGCAUUUGAGGCUAGGAUUGACCAUGUAUCUAGAUAGGUAUGUGCGUUUAAAAUAGUUUAGAUAGAGAUAGCCAGAAUUCAUGUCGUAGUCAGUUAGGAUUGGUUAGGUAAGGCAAGUCUCCAGACUAUAAAUAUGUACCUUGGAUUAUGAAUAAAAAAAUGAAGAAAACAAUCAUUCACAACAACUCUCGGCGCUUCGCGUGAUCGGGGCAGCAUCGUUCCUGCCUGUCUACCUUUGCAUUUCUCAUACUGAAGCGUUGUUGAUGGCGAGUGACACUAGUUAUCUUGGCGUUUAUAGAGUAGCAUCGGCUCUUUCAUGUUUUAUUCAUGCAUCGUUUGUUACAUAUAAACGUUUAGCUGUCCUUGUGGUCGAUCUCGGGUGUAAGGGCAGCACCUUGCUCUGUUCUUGUUUAGUAGAUCCAAUUCAUUAUGGUUAGUCUUUGUUCAUUGAAGAUUUAGCUUAACAUUUGCAUUAUUAGACCCUUUAAAUGGAUUGAAUGUUCCAGUAGUACGAUUGAUGCUUUGUAUCAACCUAAAGAGGGAUUGUUCCGAGAAUCGGCUCUUUGUUGGUUUUUAGACCUCUGUUUAGAUAGCUAUUCCAUUACCUUUCAUAUCUGUUAGGCUCAAUUACGUAUAGGAUGUUCCGGUUAUGCAGUGAAAGCUUUAACCGUCGUAGAUCGGAUCAGCUUACUAGUUGCAGAGCAAGUUUUAUUUUACCAUCGGAUAUACGUGCUUUAUUCAAAUACUUAGAUUCGAUCUGAUACUGAACACAAUCGGCUCUUUACAGCCGAUAUCGGGAAUUGCCCGAUGAGCCGAUUACGGCUCGGACUAAUGUUUACAUGUGUCUGUGCAUGCAAGAAACUAACAUAAAUCACUUCUACACCUUUCUGAUCAGGUACAAGGUCAGGUGACACACCUAGCAACCCAGACGCCAGGUCGUGUGCCGGAUCCUGGGCCGUUGAACGAGGGACCGGGGCCCACCAGCAGUCCCGGGAGCCUCCCGGCUCCUCGUGUUGCAUCUCGCUGCUCGCCGGUGGGUUUUGACCGACAACAGCCAUGCGGCUCAAUUCCUGACAGCCGAGCUACGACGUGCCGGUGACGCCACACCCUUGCCGCGGCCUUGUCCUGGCUGCACCUCCCUUGGCUUGGCUACGCCUAGCCCCUCCUCCCCUUUCCUGUGCACCUAUAAAAGGGUACCACCAUCGCCGCGCCAUUAGCACCACCGCUCGACCUCGCCGUUGAGCCCCACCUUCCGCUCCACUUCCACCUGAGUCAAGCCCCUGAAUCGGCUUCCCAUGGCCCCCUAAAGCUCCCUAACUUCCCGACGCUGCCCUUGCCUCAUCGGACAGCUGCUGGCGACCCACCUCCACACCGCCGCCCCACUACUCCCGCGUUGUCACACCCGGUUUAGAAAAGGGAAUCGAAUGCAUCUCAUAUGUGCGCCAGGAUCAAGUUCCGCAUGUAUGAUAGACCAUAGAAGUAUUAUAUCCGAAAUGAUGUCUUAACGAAAGAGAGUAUCAUAGUAUUUUAUUACAUGACCGAAAGUCUUAAUCUUAAACGAAUAAGUAAACGUUUAUAACUAGUAGCGGACUUCAAGUUCACAGGCAGAUGACUAGGAGACAUACGUCUAGUACUCUUCAAAAUCUUCAGGGAACUCCGGACAAUUAUCUUGAUCUGAGUAGCAUUGGUUUUAGUAAAGCAAGCGUGAGUACACUUAUGGUUGGUACUCAGCAAGUGGAUUAAAUUUUAUGACAUGCAAGGCCAAAAUCAAGGAAAAAGCUGAUAUGGUUUGAGUACGAUAAGCAUUUUUUGUUGAUCAAGUUUUAUUAAGCAAGCAUUAACUAAAUGUAAGUAUAUACCAACCCUUAAAUAAAUAAAAGAUAUAAGAUAACAACAAUAAAUAAAGAACAUCUAUUUAGAUCAUCUUUAAGUUCAAUUAUCAUGUGAGGGUCCAAGCCGCUCUUAACCGUGAGCACGGCUGAUAUAUCAGUUUUCACUCUGCAGAGGUUGUACACUUUACCCACAACUCGUGUUUCCCUUGAUGCCCAGGUUUGCAAAGCCCUCAAACACUUCCGAGGUGAGUGGCAGGGAUUCACUACGAAGCCUUUACAAAGAUUUCCUAACUUGCAAUAGUCCGCUAAGGUUUCAGGCCGCAGUGGUCAUAACCCUCCCUAAUGAGGCGGUACCUUAGCCAAGGACCAUAAACAAAGCCUCCAAGAGGACCGAGGUAUACCCCAUCAAUGCACUCCCCUCUUGCCCUUUCGAUAAGACCAUUACAUACUAAAGUUUCUAAUUAAUUAGCCAAGACCAGAGCCAUGUAGUAUUGUGGUUGCACUAUUUUCCUGGUAGGUUCUCCAUGUUCCAAUUAAUGCAAUGAUCUUAUUUAUCACCAUAAAAGUAUUCCAGAACAUGAGUAAACCAGUGUAGCAUGAGUUCAGGUUAUGCAACCAAAGUCUAGUAAAAGCAACUAGCGUAGCUACAACAUAAAUAUAACAACCCAGGUUUAAUCAAGGAUGUUCCAAAAGAAACUAGGCAUAUCCUUAGUUUGGGAUCCAUCAUAUUCAAGACACAUGCAUGCAUAUAAAGUAAAUGUGUGUAAUUAUAAAGUUAUUGGGACUGGAGUAUAAUCAAGGAGCACUUGCCUUCAUCAAAGAAUUGCUGCUGCUCGGGAACAUCUUCAAAGCUUUGCUCUUGCGGACCCUCAAAUUGCGCACCAUCUAUCGUAACACACAAGUACAUGCAAACAAACAAAUACAAUAAAUAAGAAAUAGUAACCAAACAAUAUAAACAGAGCAAAACAAUAUUAUAAAACUACUAUUUAUGUCGCAAGGGUCCCGUGAGCGCGAGAAUCGAUGAAAACGGAAUUAAAAUGGAGAAGUUAUAGCUAAAAUAUGAUUUUAGGGAUUUAUUUGUAAAAGAUUUGAAACUAGAAGGGCUCUGAACAAAGAAACCGAGGGCUAGAACAUAACUAAACCUUAGAUCUAGGGUUUAGAUUGCAAAAUAGAGGGGCUAGGGAUGGCGGGUUCUAUUUUAGAAAAGGAUAGGGGCCUAAACAGAAUAAAAGGUUCUAUUCAUGAAUACUUUUGAACUGCUGUGGACUUUGGGUUGAUUUCUAUGAAACUCAGGGGCUUAUGUGCAAAACAACCUAGGGUUGACCAGUAUCGGGUUUACUUGACUCGGGUUAGAUCUAAUAUAACCUGUUGGAUCGGGAUCCAACGGCUAGGGGCGGCUGACGGCGCGGGACGGCGGCAUUGGGCACCGGCGGCGAGAGUAGGCGGCGGCGGACGACGGCGGGCUCGCCGGACUUGGCCGAAAAUGGCCGUCCGUGCACAGUUUUGAGCGUGGGCUGCAUAGGAAGAUCGCGGGCGCUACGGGAAACUCAUCUAAAGGCUCGGGUUGGCGAGGCGGGGGCCGCAGAGGGGUGCACGGCGGCGGCGCACGGCACGGUGGUGACGGCGAGGAAUCGGGUGCGUGAAAAGGCAGGGAAGAGGGGGAGAAGCGGCUAGCGAGGAUCCUCACCACAACGUGGAGCUCCGCUGGCAGCUUGCGGUGACAGCGGGACAGCGAGACAGCUAUUGCGGCGGCGACCGAGAGACGGCGGCAAUGGUGGCGGCGGCUAGGGCUUCAAGAGGCGGCGGCUGCGGGAUCUAGCGGACUUUAGGGCACGGGGCGGCGCUUUAAAUAGGGUGGCCGCGGGCCUUGGCGUGCGGGCCUGGGGCUCCGUGCGGCGGGCGUCUGUGCCGUGCCGGGCUCGGGUGCGAGUCCAAGCCAGACUCGCCCUGGAGGUCAGGGACAACCGUGACGGGCGGGCCCUGCCUAUCAGCGAGAGAGAGAGAGAGAGAGAGAGAGAGAGAGAGAGAGAAGGAGAGAGCUGGCGCACGGGUGGACUAGGCCAGGGGAAAGGAAGCUGGGCCACGUGAGGUGGAAGGAGAGGGAGGAAAGAGGCCAGUUGGGCUGGGCCGUGCAGGGGGGAGAGGAAAAAGGGAAAGGCCGGCUGGGCUUGGGCUGAAAGGAAGAAAAGGAGAGAGAAAAAAGAAAAAGAGAGAGUGGGCCGGGCCCAAUUAGAAAAAGAGGGAGAAAAAGGAUUGCAUUCCAAUGCAUUUGAAUUUAAACUUGAAAUUUAAAUUCAAAUGGAAGACAAAUAGUAAAACAAUGCAACACGGCAUGAAAUGCACAAAACCUAUAUUUCCUUAUAUUUCUUUUUAUGGUUAAGUAAAUUACUAUUAAUUCACAUUAAAUGCUCUAAAAUCAAAAUGAUGUAAUAAAAACCUUAUGGAUCCUAAAAGAAAUCUAGCAAAAUUUAUUUAAGUUUAUAAUUUGAAAAUUAGGGUGUUACAAACCUACCCCCCUUAAAAGGAAUCUCGUCCUCGAGAUUCGGUUGGGCUAGCAAAGAGUUUGGGAAAUUCUGCCUGUAACUCAUCCUCUCGUUCCCAAGUAGCCUCAACCUCUGCAUGGUGACUCCACUGAACCUUACACAUCCGUAUCCUCUUACUCCGGGUGAUUCUCUCCAAUGUGUCUAGGAUUUUGACCGGUUGCUCCGUGUAAGUCAAAUCAUCCUGUACAUUCAACUCCUCCAGUGGCAACUGUUCCUCUGAUACCCUCAAACACUUCUUCAACUGUAAUAUGUGGAACACGUUGUGCACAUCUGACAGUCGCGCAGGUAGCUCUAGCCGGUAAGCUACCUUGCCUUUCCGUUCCAAGAUCUUCAACGGGCCAAUGUAAUGAGGUGACAACUUCCCUUUGACCUUGAAUCUGCGCAAACCUCUGAUAGGUGACACUUUCAGAUACACAAAGUCUCCUUCUUCAAAAGUUAACUCCCGUCGUAGAGUAUCUGCGUAACUCAUCUGCCUUGACUGAGCCACUUUCAGAUUCUCAUGGACAACCUGUAGCUCUUGUUCGGCGUCUUUAAUGAUAUCAGGCCCGAACAACUGACUUUCACCGGUCUCACUCCAAUACAAUGGAGUUCUGCACUUCCUGCCAUGCAAAGCCUCAAACGGUGCCAUCUUCAAACUAGUCUGAUAACUGUUGUUGUAAGAGUAUUAUGCAAAUGGCAAACUCUUAUCCCAACUGCCUUCAUGUUUUAGGGCACAAGCCCUAAGCAUAUCCUCUAAUACUUGGUUUGUCCUUUCUGUCUGCCCAUCAGUCUGUGGAUGAUAAGCGGAGCUGAAAUUCAACUUCGUGUCCAUUGACUCAUGUAACUUCUGCCAAAACCGAGAUGUGAACUGAGUACCUCUAUCUGACACUGUCUUCUUAGGUACCCCAUGCAAGCACACAAUUCGGGAGAUAUAUAACUCUGCUAAUCGUGCUCCUAUGUAGGUAGUCUUCACUGGUAUGAAGUGAGCUACUUUGGCCAAAGAUCCACUAUAACCCAUAUGGAAUCAUAACCAUCUCGUGUGCAUGGCAAUCCCAGAAUGAAAUCCAUACCAAUUUCUUCCCAUUUCCAUUCUGGCACCUUCAAUGGCUGUAACAAACUGGCUGGAGAAGUGUAUCUUAAAUGGCAACUUCAAUAGCUGUAACAUUUGCCUUCCCUGGAUGAUAGUGUAUCUCCAGAUCAUAAUCCUUUAUGAGCUCUAACCAUCUUCGCUGUCUUAGGUUGAGGUCAUUCUGAGUAAAAAUGUAGUUCAGACUCUUGUGAUUGGUGUAUAUCUGACAUCUCUGACCCAACUAAUAGUGCCUCCAUAUCUUCAGAGCAUGUACCACUGCUGCUAACUCCAGAUCGUGUGUGGGAUAGUUCUGCUCAUGUUUCCUCAACUAACGAGAAGCAUAUGCAAUCACGUGUCCCUCUUGCAUUAAUACACAACCAAGAUGUUGUUUAGAAGCAUAUAUCUCCCAGUCAUCUGCCUAUGAAGUUGAAGUCCGCUGUUAUAAACAUUUACUUAUUCAUUUAAGAUUAAGACUUUCGGUCAUGUAAUAAAGUAUUAAAAUACUCUCUUUCAUUAACACAUCGUUUUGGAUAUACACUUGUAUGGUCUAUCAUAUGUGCGGAACUUGAUCCUAGCGCACAUAUGAGAUGCAUUCAGUUCCCUUUUCUAAAUCGGGUGUGAUAGAAGUGGUAUCAGAGCCGUGUUGACUGUAGAACAUGAGCCUAGUUAGUAAUGGUCGAAUUUUAAGUCUUAUCUUGCUUAGUAGCCUACCUUCUGCUUGCUUGUUUUUGAAAAUUGCUUAUUUCUUGAUUAUAUUGUUAUUAUCUCAUCCUUGACUUCAUACUUGCCUCUCAAGUGUGUUGAUGUUUUUCAAACUCAUUCUUGCUUUAAAUUCACCUAUAUCAUUUUCUAAAUAUUUUCUAUCUUGCGCUGUCCUCACUUUUGCUAUAGAUGGCCAGAACCAGGUAGACCGCCUACAAGAGCACCCGUGGACCACCUCAUCCGAUCCAUCAUCCUGAGGAAGUGCACGACCUUGAGGAGCCUGAGCAGCCGGAGAACUUGCCCGAGUUUGUGAUAGUCGAAGACGACGAUGACGACUACUAUGGCUACCAUGAAGGAGGCUGGGUGGACACUGACACUGAGAAGGAGCCUAUGGAGCUGCCUGAGGACCAUCCUGACGCCACAAGUGACAGCAAUGAGGAUGCUGCAGGAGAAGACGGUGCCGAUUCUGGUGCCGCAGGAGGGGACAAUGCUGAAGAUGGUGACGAUGACCCAGCUGCACCUAAUGGUGGUGACGAGGACUCAGAUGAUGAUCCAGAGCCAGCCGUUGCAGCAGAUCCACCGCCACCUGAGCCCCACUACGAGAAGCAGAUACAUCGCCGGGACUUUGCUGAAGGUCCAUUCCCAGCACUUCUCUAGAGGGCCAUGCAGAGAAUCAGCUUCCCACUGAUGCCACAUAAUGAAGCUUGCUUCUACAAGAAUGCCUAGCAGGAGGAGGAGUGGUUAGUGGCAGUGGUGAUCAGUGUUCCUGAUGAGAGGUAUGGCAGCCGGAUGGAGUACUACAAGCACUUCGAUGACAUGUCCAGGAGGACUUUGGAUGCAGGGACUAGUGAAGCUGCUAGAAGAGCUCUCUACUACCUCUGCCAUGUUUACCGGGAUGAACUUCAGGGUACUGAGUUUCAGCAGUUUCCACGGCGCAUGAAGGGUGCCACCUGUGCGCAGAUUCAUGCCCCGCCCCCUAGGGAAGGAAGCUUGCUCAUGGACACCACGCAGGAGUUGGUCGCCGCUCUCAGCACUGACAUGGAUGCUGCCGGAGCAGAGAUCUAGGAGGUCAAGAGGAAGCUGAGGAAGACGAUUAGGGAGAAGGCGAUUCUGGAAGCUCAGCUGAGGGGAGGUCCGGAGCUACCCCGGAGUACGACAGCGAUGAGUCUAUCGAGUACCUGCCAGAGUCACCUCACUGCAAACGCGUUCGCUAUAGAGAGCCCAGCUACCGCACCCGUUAUCGUUAGAGAUGCAUUCGGUUCCCUUUUGAAAACCGGGUGUGCCACGCGUGCAGCCCAUCUCCAGCCAUCUCUAGCCCCAUCCGAGCCCACCUACAGGCAGCCCUCACUGUCCUCGUGCUCCCCCACCCCUUUCCUCUCGCCGCCAGCAAGCCUCCUCGCUGGAUUUCAACCAGGAAACAUCUAGCCCCGCCUCAGGACUACAUUGCGAUCGCCAAGUUCUUUUUAGAAUUCUUUCAGCUAGAUCCAGGGACCUAUCUGCGAAAACUCAUGUUAACUUUGGUUUUCAAGAGGCUGUCAAUUGUAAAAUCAAUCUAAAAUCAUAGAAAAAUUAGAAAAAUACACUAAAAUUUGUUGUGACCCUCUUGAUGAAUCCUACAACUUUUGCAUAGAAGGAAGACCAGUUACAAACUAUAACUUGAUCUAAAAUUAAUCUUUUUUAAAUAGCCCAUAAAUGUAUCUCUUGAUAUGGGACAGUAAUAUGGAUGAUUUUUGGAUUGUAAGCUAGUCUCUUCUUGAUAAGACUUGUGUAAAAAUCUCAAGGCUAGAACAAGUAUCUACGAGUAGUUCUUGUUGGACCUUGUUUGAUGUGCUAUUUCGCUAGAGUUAUUUGUUCAUGCUGUUCUACUAAUAUGUUAGGGUUGAAACUUUUACAGCAGAGUAACCUUGAUGCAUAAAUUCUAUGGACAAAGUUUGGAACUUUUUACUUCUAUCUAACUUGCUCAUAUGUUUUAGUUAAGAAAGACUACCCUAAAUCAAAGUAACUAGUUCUAGUGCUUAGAAAAAUAAGAAAUUUUAACCAGAGACUAUCGUUGAGUAGAUUAUCAUGUUGGAAAAGUUUGGGAUAUAGAAACUUUGUGGAACUGUCUAUAGAAAUAAAUCUUUAUUAAUGUAGAUGUAUCUUGACUUAUUUUCUAUCUUCUGUAUCUUGCACACUAAAACCUGAAAAGUUUACAGUAGACUCACCAUAAGUUUAGGAGUACUGAGUAAAAUGUUGAGCACCAGUUUUUUGUCAUGGGUUGUUCUGUAUAAAUGGAUCUUGAUCCUAGUAGUAGUUGUUUAUUGUAUUUUUCAUAAUUAAUCUAGUAAUGAAAAUAGCUGGAAAUUUUAUAGUGAGUUUGUACUUAAGUAAUAUGCUCUACAUAAAAAUCUCAACACCAGAAACUAUCUCUAGUAUUUUUUUUAAUCCAUGCUUACUUUUGAAAAAUGGCUGUUUAUGAAAUGACAAAACCCCUCACUUACUUAAUGAAGUUAGUUAAUCUAGAUACUACUCGAUAAAUGACUGUCCAAGGAAAAGAAAAUGAAGUGCUUACAACUUAACUUGAGUUUUGUUGAAUUACAACUUUAUAGUGAAAUAGUUAUUUAUCUUGUACUUUUAAAACAACUUAUACAUAUGCAUUUAUAUAGAAUCGACGACUCUCGCCGAUGGAACCUACGAGCUGGUGCCGAAGCCCGAGAGUGAGCAGCACGAAGCUCUGAUCAGUCUAACUGAAGUUAUCAAAGACCCGAACCAAAGUUCACAAAAGCCCAAAGCUAGGUUUGCUAAGGAAGGCAAGCCCUGGAGCAUAACUCCUAUUUUUAAACUUAUGCAACUUUUACUUAUAUAUGGUAUUGUGCAUUAAGUUUGUAGGAGUAGAUUGAAACCCUAGAUGCAUGAUACUAUGUACCUAUGAUAUGAACACUAGUCUAUGUCGGUCGCUAGAUUGCCAUGCUAAUAGGACUCCGGUAAAAGUUGAGUGAUUUUCUGUCACUCGCGAGAUAUAGGAAUUGCUUGUUUUACUUAUGUUGGAAUCAUAAGGUCGAUGGACGGUGCUAUUUUAUGAUAUUUCUAUUGAUGAUUGAGGCCCCGUCCAUUUAGCAAAAAUGCUAAGGUCGCGGUGUGGGGUAGUGGUGGUUAAAUUUUGGAACGUACUAACCACAUGCCGAGAAUAUGGUAAUCGGUAAGCUUAAGUACCUGAUUGAACCGGGGCGUGGAACGUACCACCCCACCGUCUUGAUGUCAUUCCCAUGGGCACAUGGUAAGUGCAAGAGCAGCCACGACCCGGCGUUGUUCCAUGGUUCGUGGACCUAUGUACUUGAGGACGGUGGCCCUGUUCCAUGAAAUGAGAAUAAAGGGGAAAUGUUGCACAUGUGACUCUAUGAGCAACCACGUGACGUGUGUUUAGGUUUCCUAUUGCAAUGUUAAGAAAUUCGAUUCAAUUCAUCCGUUUCUCAUGACCCUUAAGACUGCUUGACCCUUUUACCACAUAGAGUAAGAAGAGGAACAAUAAUGAUGCUUAAUCUGGUUGGAUGCUCAAUUAAUUUUCCACCAUGCGUGAUUUGGAUAGCUGCUUACCUAGAAUGGUUAAUCAACUAGAACUUGAUGCUAAAACUUGAAAGCAAAGACUCACUGUUAGAUGCUUUCUCGCUAAAACAACCCUCAGCUAAAAGCCUUGCAUGUCUAAGAGUCGGCUAAGUAUAUACCACUAGUCGGGUAACCCUUGCUGAGUAUUAGUAUACUCAGCCUUGCUUGUGGAAUGGGAUGCGUCCCCAUCCAAUGAUGAUAAUGUUGAAUGAUGUCAUGUACGGGCUUCAUCAUGAUAUCUUGUAUCAUCGUUAGAACUAUCGUUUAUUUUCCGCUACACUAUUAAAGCCUGAAAGUACUUGUCUAUGAAUAUUUUCGAACUUUAUUUGUAAUAUAAUUUCUGUUGAACUCUGGAAUGUAAAACUUGUGGAUUGUUGUAAUCUCAUGGCUCACCUUCGUGUGGGUUGUAUGUAUGCAUUGUUUCGAUCGAAAUUCCAGUGGUUGCAUCGGGAUGUUACCCGACAGACUGUCGUUUUACUCCGUUUUAAGUGUGGGUAAGCCCGGAUUGCCUCUAUGGUGAUGGUUAGCGCAUUUAAGCUGGAUUAAUUCAGGCGGUUCUGCCACAGCUGGUAUCAGAGCCGAAAUGCAUAUACUAGAGAGUACAACAAGCCUUAAACAAAUAUUUUAAUAAAACUUGACCACAAAAAAUGCAUUUGAAAAUACGUUGUUUUGUUAAGGAUGACGCAUAGUUCGUAAAGCCCUAGGGGAUUAUGGGAAUAUGACUAGGUGGUUAUCUAACUUAUGUUUAUUAUAACUAACUUGUAGCAUAUUACUUUGUAUCAAAACUUACUUUUGUACACAACCGACCUUUAAUUUCUGUUACGACGCACUCAUUGCUAAGGUAAGGAGGUAAGAAUCCACAGUCAACUGAGAGAGCUUGACCUCAUGUCGGUGACACGAACCGAACACUGCCCUCAAGUAGUGGCUUACUUGAUGUGCUGCCAAUAUACCAACCACUCAUUGAUUAUAUUGGGAGUAAAAUAUGCUGCAUGUAUGGUGGCUUCGACAUACAAACAUCCCAUAAGGUGAUUUAUUUGGAAAGUGAAUACGUUAUCACGGUAAUGUAUGAAGCACUGUCCAUGCAGUGGUGAACGCUUGGAUGCCGCUACUAUAGUGAGCGGUAAUGUAUGGGGACACUUUCGUGAGUGCUGGCAUGAAAGGUUCAAUUUAUAUUCUGUCAAUCUUCUGCAGGUACACUAACCGUGGUUACGUUAAGAUAAGAACGGUUAGAAAAGUUCGGCUAGUUAAUAUAAGGAGAGACGUAUUAUGUAUGCCAUCGAAAUUAACCACGUUAGACCAAAGCUAUUUGGCAAUUGUUUUGCUUUGUGAGGAUGAAUAGGAUGUGCAUGCCUCAUGAUCAUGUAUGAAAAUUGAAUGAAACAUUGUCCUGGGUUUAUAAGGGAGUAAGUUGCACUAGAGCACACGUUUAAGCACUCACUUAAGGGCUAUCUAGAAAUCUAUCUUCUUCUGCCAUAUCUAGGUAGAAGAAUUAAUUAGGCUAAUGAAAUAACCUUAUCUGAAGAAAAGCUUAAUAGGGAAGUUGCUUCAAAUUUCGCCUACUUUCUGCUGCUAAAUUUUGAGAAUUUUUGGGCUAGUACUCAGUGGGCAACACUAGAAACUUCCACAUCUCAGUUUUCUGCCUGUUUUGAGCACUCCUAUUACAAAUAAAUUCUUAGACCUUCUUAGUGAAGUUUUCUGCAGAAGUGUUCAACAUCAAACUUUUUGCAAACUUAUACAAUCAACUAAUUUUCAAAUUUGGAAGUUUUUGCCUGAGUAGAUUUUCCCUGGUGAUUAAAAUACUAGCUCUCUGUCCACUAAAAAACCGCCAAAAUAGAGAAACAGUCGGAGAUGUAGUCGAAGUGGUCGAAGAUGUAGUCGUAGUAGUCAGAGGUGUAGUUGAAGCAGUCGGAAAUGUAGACGAAGUGUCGAAGAUGUAGUCAUAGUAGUUGAAGAUGCAAUCUAAGUAGUCGAAGUAGUCGGAGGUGUAACUGAAGUAGUCGGAGAUGUAGUGGUAGUAGUUAGAGAUGUAGUUGAAGCAGUCAGAAAUGCAGUCCAUGUAGUCAAAGAUGUAGUGUAGUCGAAGAUGUAGUCGUAGUAGUCGGAGGUAUAGUUGAAGCAGUUAGAGAUAUAGUCGUAGUAGUUAGGAAUGUAGUUGAAGCAGUCGGAGAUGCAGUCAAAGUAGUCAAAGAUGCAGUGUAGUCGAAGAUGUAGUCGUAGUAGUCAGAGGUAUAGUUGAAGCAGUCGGAGAUAUAGUCGUAGCAGUUAGAGAUGUAAUUGAAGCAGUCAGAGAUGUAGUCAGAGUAGUCGAUGAUGUAGCCGUAGCAGUCAGAGAUAUAGUCGUAGUAGUCAGAGAUGUAAUUGAAGCAGUUGGUGAUAUAGUAGAAGUAGUCGAGAUGUAGUCCUGGUAGUCGGAGUUGUAGUUGAAACAGUCGGGGAUGUAGUCGUAGUAGUCAAAAAUGUAGUCGAAGUAGUCCGAGAUGUAGUAGUCAGAGGUGUAGUUGAAUAUCAAAGUUGUAGGUCACUAAAGUUUCUAGUCACUGCCAAAAUUUGUAAGGGUUUGGAUGAACAGACUAGGAGUUACAGUUUUGUUGCAACCAGCAGUAUUCUGUCCACAGUUUAUCUAUGAGUCCUUCAGUUCUAAAUCUUCCGCACUUAUGACACUCAGCCUUGGAGGUACUGUGGAUUCCUGAAUUAAUGAAAAAUUUGCACAAUGCAGCUGGUUCAAGCGACCCACAACACCCCGAAAAAAGCGGUUUUGGUGCUAAUGGUAGUAGACAACCACAGUAGCCUCCACAACCGCCCAACCUAGCUGAAGUAGUGACUGCCUAGACUGAACUGCUUCGUCAGCUUGUCCAAGGGCAGCAAGCAUUUCAACAAUUCCUGCAGCAGCAACACCAUCAACGGGGUGGCCGCAAUGUCCACCAACCUCAGGUUGCGGGCUAUCAAGAGCUCAAUAAGGAAAUAAAGGAUACAAGGGAUGUUUACUCGGACUCCCUAAUGCCACUAUCAUGACUUCCGAUGGAAAUUAAGGAUCCCCAAGUAGAGUGUCGGACUCUGAAGCACGACACAUGCGACAUAGACUUAAGUGGAUGGGAAAUUACAUGCACAGAAUUCAUUCCACGAGGUAGAAGGCAAACCAGCAGUACUACUAACGCCAACACAGUCAUAAGAGCAAGAACUCGCUCGCCUGUCCAUGAAAAGAUGGACCAUGCCAGAUGCACCACACCCAAGAAAAGCUCAGUAAGUAUGCUAGUAGUGAAAUCCUUAGGUAACAAACAGCCUGGUGGUCCGUGCAAAACAAAAUGUUGCUUCAUUUUUAGGAGUCCUAACCACUUUGCUCGAGAUUGCUCCCGCGCCAGACAGCCAAAUCAGGGUCACGGUUCUAGCCGAAACAAUAAGAACAAGAGCAAAAGAUAGAUUGAUCAGGUUAGGCAAGGAAGGAUAAAUUUCACCACACCUGCCGAGCUUGUGCACCAGCGAUGUCGGGUACAUUCUCUAUCCACAACAAGUCUGCAGUUAUAUUAUUUGAUUCAGGUGCAUCCCAUAGUUUUAUUAGUGCAAAAUUUGGUGAAAAAGUGGGCUUGGAUUUUUGUCACACAAAAGGGUCAUACAUAAUAUCAACACCGGGUGGUAAAAUUACUUCCAACCAAAUCAUAAGGCACGUACCAAUCAAGUUGGGUAGUAAAACUAUCAAAACCGACCGCAUGCUUUUGGCACUUGAAAGCAUGGACAUUAUUUUAAGAAUGGACUGGAUGACUCCACAUGGGGUGACAUUAGAUACUCCUUCAAGGGCCGUUGAAAUCAACUCCCCAACCCAGGGAGCCUCUAUUCUUUAUUUGCCAUUCCGAGAAUGCACAAAUACAUGCGCCUUCAUCAAGAUCGAAUCCAAGAUAGAGGAAAUACCACCAGAUAGGGAUAUUUAGUUCAUUAUUGAACUGCAGCCAGGCACUGCACCUAUCUCAAAAAGACCCUAUAGAAUGCCACCCAAAGAAUUGGCCGAACUGAAAAAACAACUUGAAGAACUCUAGACAAAGGCUUCAUUCGUCCUAUUGCAUCACCUUGGGGUUGCCCAGCCCUAUUAGUGAAGAAGAAGGAUGAUAGUUUGAGGCUGUAUAUGGACUACCGACGUCUCAAUGCGGUGACAAUUAAAAAUAAAUAUCCACAUCGCCACAUUGAUGUUCCCUUCGAUCAAUUAGUGGGAGCUAGAGUCUUCUCAAAAAUUCAUGUUCGCUCUGGUUAUCAUCAGAUCAAGAUUUAUCCAUGUGAUAUCCCUAAGACUGCCUUUUCCACACGGUACGGGCUAUAUCAGUAUCUGGUCAUGUCUUUCGGUCUCACAAAUGCUCCUGCCUAUUUCAUGUAUCUCAUGAAUUUGAUAUAUUCAUGCUCGAGCUUGACAAGUUCAUCGUGGUUUUUAUUGAUGACAUCCUUAUUUAUUCCAAGAAUCAGAAAGAUCAUGCUAAGCACCUGCGCAUUGUUCUCCAGCGUCUUAGAGACCAUUAGCUCUAUGCUAAGUUUUCCAAGUGUGAAUUCUGGCUGGAUAGUGCAAAAUUUUUGGGCCACACUAUGUCUAGUGAAGGUAUAGCCGCUGAUGCUAACAAAGUACAAGAGGUGAUGGAUUGGAAACCUCCCACCUCCGUCCAUCAGAUUUGUAGUUUUCUUGGUUUAGCUGGUUAUCAUCACCACUUUAUUCCAGACUUCUCCAGAUUUGCUAAGCCUAUGACUGAACUAUUGAAGAAAGGAGUAAAGUUUGUAUGGAGCGAGAAAUGCAAAAAAGCUUUCCACACUCUUCGGGAACACCUGACUACAGCCCCAGUCUUGGCUCAACCCGAUAACACCAAGCCAUUCAGUAUUUAUUGUGACGCAUCCGGCACUGGUCUUGGUUGUGUGCUUAUGCAAGAUAACCGAGUCAUUGCCUAUGCUUCACGAGCUCUUCAACCUCAUGAAUAUUAUUAUCCAACACAUGAUCUCAAGCUAGCAGUUGUCAUUCUUGCUUUAAAGAUUUGGAGACAGUAUCUUAUGGGCACUCAUUGCAAUAUCUACACUGAUCACAAAAGUCUCAAAUAUAUCUUCACCCAAGCUGAUCUGAAUAUAAGACAAAGAAGAUGGUUGGAAUUGAUCAAAGAUUAUGAUCUUGAGGUGCACUAUCACCCAGGAAAGGCUAAUGUAGUCGCAGAUGCGCUAAGCCGCAAGGUUUAUUGCAAUUGCUUAUCCGCAAAAUUCUAUAAUGGAACAUUAUUUCAUGAGAUGAGGAAACUCAAUCUGGAAAUGAUUCCCCAAGGCACUUUAAAUCAUAUCUCUGUUGAACCAACCCCCCACGAUCGAAUCAUCAUGGCCCAAUUAAAUGAUGAGGGAGUAAAGAUCAUCAAGCACAAGCUCUCCCAAGGGGAAGAGAAAUAUAAAUAUUUUCGCCAAGACAAGAAUGGAGUUCUAUGGUUUGAAUCUCGCAUAGUGGUUCCAAAGAAUCAUGAGCUCCGAAAACAAAUUCUUGAUGAGGCACAUCUUUCCAAGUUCUCUAUUCACCCGGGUAAAAGCAAAAUGUAUCAAGAUCUUAAGCAAAACUUUUGGUAGACUAGAAUGAAAAGGAAAAUUGCCAAGUAUGUCUCAGAAUGUGACCCAUAACAGAGGGUUAAAGCUAGCCACUUGAAAGUAGCCGGUACACUUCAACCUUGCCUAUACCAUCAUGGAAAUGAGAAGAUAUAAGUAUGGAUUUCAUUGUUGGAUUGCCCAACACCUCCCAAAAGCACGAUUCCAUGGGUUAUCGUGGAUAGAUCACGAAAACGGCACAUUUUAUUCCGGUACACACUACCUACACUGCCAAGAAGUAUGCCGAGAUUUACCUCGAUCGCAUCAUUUGCUUACAUGGGGUACCCAAGAAGAGUUCUCAUACAACAAUAGAUAUCAAGCAAGUUUGAAAAUGUCACCAUUUGAGGCCUUGUAUGGUCGAAGGUGUUGAACUACUUUGAGUUGGUCCCAAACUAGAGAACGUAAAAUAUUUGGACUAGAUUUGGUAAUCGAGGUAGAGGAAAAAGUAAGAGUAAUAAAAGAGAAUCUAAGAGUCGCACAGUCUAGACAAAAGAGCUAUUUUGAUAAAAGGAGAACGCCUUUGCAAUUUGAAGUUGGUGAUCAUGUCUACCUUCGGGUUUCACCAACCAAGGAUGUGCAAUGGUUUGGAGUGAGAGGGAAGUUAGCUCCCCGAUAUGUUGGUCCUCAUGAAAUUACCAAAAUUUGUGGACCCGUGGCCUAUAGAGUGCGACUACCCCCUCCGCUUGCAACCAUCCAUAAUAUCUUUCAUGUCUCUCAACUCAAGAAGUGUAUUCGAGUUCCGACCAAAAUUGUUGAACAAAAGAAAAUAUUAGUAGACCCAGACCUCUCUUAUGAUGAAUAUCCUAUCAAAGUUCUUGAUCAAAAGGAAAGUGGUUAAAAUGUAUAAAAUCCAAUGGAGCCAUCCAAUGGAGCCAUCACACCGAAGAGGAAGCCACUUGGGAAACUGAAAGCUAUUUAAACCAAAGUUUCCACGGUUUUCUAAAUUCGCCCAAAGGUACACGUACUUUCCACACUAGGUGUACUUAUCCGAAUCUCGGGAUGAGAUUCUUUUAGAGGGGGAAGGCUAUAACGCCUUAGGUAUUUAAAAUCCUAAGCAGAAAAACCUAAACAUAGCAUUGUGCAUAAUAACUCAGAAUCAUUGAAACAAUGCAUUUAAUUAUGGAUGUGCAUAUGCAUGUGUAUGAAUGUGUAUGUGCAUGUGCAUGUAUGUGUGCAUAUAAGGUUUUUCAUAAAUAUGUUCAUAACCAUACAUGCUCAACUUGUUAUAAAAAAAUGUGGCAUAAAAACACACUCAUAUUUUAGUACCUUACAAAGUGUACUUCAAACACCAUUUGCAAAUUCAAAUUUUAAACACAUGAGAUGAAUAGGAAUUCAAAUCUUACUAGUCAUAAAUUUAAAAUAACUUCUAAACUAAAGCUCAAAUGAACUUUGAUAAAAAAUGAAAGUCAUAGAGUUUCAAAUUCCCUACAACUUUUAAGUUGGCAGAUUUCAAAGUUUCCUUGCAAACUUUUGAGAAAAAUUCAUUUAAACCCGGGACCUCACUCUUUCUCUCUCUUCCUUCACUCUCCUUCUCUCUCUCCCUCCCCUGUUCUGUCCCGUUGAGGGGCAGUGGCCGCCGGCCACCUAGCCGCCGAUGCCUGCCGGCGAGCCGUGCCAAAGGGCAGCGCCUCGACAGGCCGAUGGCCGAAUCGCCCUUUGCAGCCCUGAAUCCACCCAUGCCUGAUGCGCGCGCGCCACACGGAUGUUGAUUCCUGAUGGCCGAGCCACAACACACCAGUGGUCCGCGCCCUUGUCGCAACCUUAUCCCGGCUGCACCUUCCUCAGCUUGGCCGCGCCCAGUCCCUCCUCCCCUUCCCUUUGCGCCUAUAAAAGGGCUGCAUCGAGCCCCUGCUCACGUGCGUCCGAGUACCACCAUCGCCAUGCCAGUAUCGCCGCUGCUCGGCCUCGCCAUCGAGCCCCACCUUCUGCUCCACUUCCACCCGAGUCAAGCCCCUGAAUCAGCUUCCCAUGGCCCCCUAAAACUCCCCAAUUUCCUCACGCCGCCCCUGCCUCACCGGACGGCUCCCAGUGAGCCACCUCCACACCACCGCCCCACUGCUCCCGCAGGCCACCCAAUUCCAACCAUCUCCAGCCCCAAGCGAGCCCACCUACAGGUAGCCCUCGUCGUCCUCGUGCUCCCUCACCCUUUUCCCCUCGCCGCCGGCGAGCCUCCUCUCCGGAUUUCUGUCGGGAAACACCCGGCCCCACCCAGGGACUACAUUGCAAUCACCAAGUUCUUUUUAGGAUCCUUUCUGCUAGAUCCAGGCACCUAUCUGUGAGAACUCGAGUUAACUUUUGUUUCCACGAGGCUGUCAAUUGUAAAAAUCAAUCUAAAAUCAUAGAAAAAUCAGAAAAAUGAAAACUAAAAUUUGUUGCGACCCUCUUGAUGAAUCCUACAACUUUUGCAUAGUAGGAUGACCAGUUACAAAAUAUAACUUGAUCUAAAACUAAUCUUAUUUUAAAUAGCCAAUAAAUGUAUCUCUUGAUCUAGGAUAGUAAUGUGGAUGAUUUUUGGAUUGUAAGCUAGUCUCUGCUUGUUAAGACUUGUGUAAAGUCUCAAGGCUAGAACAAGUCUCUACGAGUAGUUUUUGUUAGAUCUUGUUUGAUGUGCUAUUUUGCUAGAGUUAUUUGUUCUUGAUGUUCCACUAAUAUGUUAGGGUUGAAACUUUUACAGUAGAGUAACCUUGAUGCAUAAAUGAUAUGGAGAAAGUUGAGAACCUUUUACUUCUGUCUAACUUGCUCAUAUAUUUUUAGUUAAGAAAGACUAUCUUGAACCAAAGAAACUAGUUCUCGUUCUUAAAAUAAUAAGAAAUUUUAACCAGAGACUACCUUUGAGUAGAUUAUCAUGUUGGAAAAGUUUGAGACACAAAAACUUUGUAGAACUGUCUAUAGAAAUAAAUAUUUAUUAUGUCGGUACAUACGGAUAGGGGAACCUCCUGCUAGAGUGUCCAGCCCGAAGGGUGCGAGGGUAUCCGUAACCUCGCCCUAUGCCUUCGGAUGAUAGGGCGUACGGCCCGGGCCUGACAGCUGGCGUCGCAAUCUCCGGACCUCGUCCCGUGCUCUAACAGGUCCGGUGCCUCCAUGUGCCCAGAAGGACAAGGUGCCCAGGAACGGCCACCACGGGCCCGAACCCCCGCGGGGUGGUCCGGUGCCGCCACAUGUGGAAGCCGGACCCUCUAGGGGUCUGCGCACCUAAAUCGACCUUAGGGGCCCGGACCUCCCUUCCCUCCGGGCCUGACAGCUGGCGUCGCAAUCUCCGGACCUCGUCCCGUGCUCUAACAGGUCCGGUGCCUCCAUGUGCCCACAAGGACAAGGUGCCCAGGAACGGCCACCACGGGCCCGAACCCCCGCGGGGUGGUCCGGUGUCGCCACGUGCCCCAAAGAAACAGACUGCUAAGCAAGCUCCGCCACGUGUCCGGUGGCAGCCAGCCUUCUGCGGGACGCCAGCCCAACUACCGCAUUAAAUGCCAGUAGGUGAGGCGCGCGUGCCCGGGUCAGGGCGUCUGGCAGAACCGCCUGAAUUAUUCCGAUUCAAGUAUGCAGACCAUCGCUAAACAGGCGAUAGAGUCUCAACGUACUUCAAACGAAACAACUCAUUGGUCUGUCGGGUCACCCCCCGAUUCAAACACGGUACACAGGAUCGACGUAUGUUUACCUCGCACGAAGGCGAGUCCAGACUUACAACAGCUCACAAAUUUUACACCACAGGAUAAUUAAACAUGAUUACACAGAUGUUUUGUUUUACCCUAACUAAUACAAAUUUAUACAAACAUAAUUCAAAACUUUAAGUUUUAACAGCCUUUGUUCAGAGGGGGCAGCGGAAAAGAUAUAACAACGUGACUACUCGACGCCAAGAAGGCACCAUACUUAGCCCAGAGCAUGGCGUCAUUCCGAUGGGUCAGCGCUGGCCGGGGAUGGAUCCCAUUCCACGGACCAGCCAAGCGGAAUAGAAUAGGACCAAGGAGAACUAGCCACUGAGUCCUCGAACGGUAUACUUGAAAAUAACAAUACUAGCAAGGCUGAGUAUACUAAUACUCAGCAAGGCUUACCCGACAUUGGGUAUACUUAACCCAUAACUAGACCAUGAUACGUUGAACAGCUUGAGUUUUCUUUUGCUGAAAAGCAACAAAGAGUAUGACCUUACUUUCAUAUUUUAGCUUUCAGAUUCUAUUUUGUUUUAACCAUUCUAGGUAAGCACCUAUACUAGUCAAGCAAGGUAGAUAUUAGGCAUCCAUCCAAAUUAUUUCAUUAACUAUUACUGUUCUUACUCUAUGUGGUAGAAGUAUCAAGCAGUCUCAAUCUCCGCAAGAAACGGACGAUUCCUGAAUCGAAUUUCAUAACCUUGCAAAGGAUCCUAACUCACACGCUCGGAAACUUUCCUUUCCGGGCAACCAUUCCCCUCAUAUUCCGGGGCGUGGAUCAGGGCCACCACAAGCGACUGCAGGACCGUACGCACAUCCAAUGUGCAGGACGUACGUCUACUGCACGACAGUAUGACCGUACUCCUGUCUGCUAUGCAGAAUGUACUCCCACACGUCGGUGUGUGUGUGCAACAAAAACCAUAAUUCGAGUGGUGGGGUAAGUCCACUUGUCGGGACAAUCAGGUACUAGGCUUACCGCGUACCAUAUUUACGGCCUUAUCAAAUUGAUCAACACAGACGGGUACCAUUCCAAUCAUGGUACUACACAAAAUCCCGUCCAUGAUCCUUAUAGUGAUUGCAAAAUAGUAAACAAUCAACUCCUAUAUCGCCGAGUGACAGGAAAUCACUCGACUUCUGCCGGUCCUAUUAGCAAAGCAUCUACUCGAUAAGGACUCAAAAACAUUACAUAGAUUCCUAGGUUUAUGCAAUUAAGGUUUCAUAACAACUCCUAACACUUAAUGCACAAGCAAGAUAUAUAGCAAUAUAAGUGCAUAAUUUAAAAUACUGGGUUAUGCACCGGGGCUUGCCUUCUUGGGUGGGGCUAGGGUCAGGGAUGUCACUAUGUUCUGAACUUUGGUUCGGGGCUUCAGUUAAGUCCUCGGCGACGUUCACCUGGUCUUCAGAUAAACCUUGCUCGGGUUCCGUCUUCAAGCGUCGUCAAUUCUACAUGAUAUGCAGUGACUUGAAGCAAUGGUUAUUAUCUUGUUUUCAUGAAAAAGUUGCAAUCUAUCAAUUCACAGCCAAGCAUCGCAAAACAAGGAUUUGAAUUCCAAGAAUUCAAAUCUACUUCUUAUAAAUUAAACCUAUGAUAACAAGUUUUAUUUUUUAGUUUGAAAUCUAUAGAGGUUCUGGCCUUGAAUUUUGACAAGUGUGUUUACCUCUAUCAGAUGAGCUUGUCAUAAAUUUUUCAUAAAUUUAUGAAAACAAAAACUAAGUUAUUUGAAUUUAAUUCAAAUUUCAAGUUUAAAUCAAAACCUAAGGCAAAACAGUGCUAUAAAAUUAUUCAAAUACUACUAUGCCUUACUCAACAUUAGAUCAACAUAUGGUUAAAAGAUCUAAGCAGGAAAGCAUUAGCAUCAUGCUUGAAUAAAUUGAUUUCAUUUCAAACUUGAUUUGCACAAAAUUUAAAUGAGUUCAAGUUAGAGUGUAGUACUGAAGGUGAAAUUUGCACACAAGUUCACUUACACCUUAAACAGGUUGCAUACCAAAAAUCACAUGAAAUAAAGCUGGAAUGCAAAAGUUAUGCACAAGAUACCCUUUUGCUAAACUUUAAAAUAGCUCUAAAAGCAUUUAGUUUCAAACUAAACUCUUGUAACAAAAGUUAUAGAGCUAGACUCCUAGAGUACAACAAAACCGAUUUGAAAAUUUUUGGAUUUUUCUACAAAUUCCUAUCGAUUCUCAAAGUUGACAGCUUUGAAUUGGGGAGGGGUACUGAUAUUUCACAGAAACGACCCUAGAAAGAUUUAAAAGCUUGAAAUUGGGUCCUUGGCCGGGUUUUACAGAGAAGCCGAUCGAUGACGAUCAAAUUCCGGUGAGGGGGCUCACCGGAGGCAAGGGGAAAGUGGGGGAAAAGGUUCAGGAGCUCACAGCGGUCACGGGGGUGGCCGGAAUCGAGGAAGGAAGGGGCUGAGGUGGCGGGUCGAUGGUGAACCGAGCCGGUGCGGCGGGGCUCCGAGGACGGCGGUGGCGUUCCAGUAGCUGGAGUGCCGGAGAGCGACGGGGAAGUGGCCGGGAAGUUUCUGCGUGAAGAUGUGGUGCUGAUGGUGAGCUUGUUGAGGGCUGAGAGGUGGCGGAGCGUCGGGACAGCAGCGAGUAGAAGCAGCGGUGGUGGAAGAGCUCACCGGCGCCGUGGUCCUGACUGCGUGGGUGCGAGGGAAUGGAAUUGAACUAGUCAGGGAGUUUCAGUGGGAUGUGGCGGUGCCGAUGGAACAUGGGAUUGUGGGUGUGGGGUGGCGGAGGUGGCUGAUGACGGCGAGCAGAAACGGCAGUGGAGCGGUGGCGACGGUGGUCGAGCAGAGAAGAAACCAAGGAAGCGAAAUGUGGCCGCGCGAGCGGGUAAAAGUAGUCGAAGAGGGCUCCUGGACGCUCUACAGAACCAAAAAGAGCACGGGCGAGCUGGAGCAGCGGCGGCGCGACGUGGCUGCUGCGACCGAUGGCGGCAUGACGUGGUGGGGUGGGAGGAAGCCAGCAGAGGUCUGGCGAGAGGCGGGCGGGUGAGUUGGAGGGCCAGGUGGUGAGGUUAAAGCUGCGAAAGGCAAGUGGCAGCGCGAGAGCUCACCGGUGAGGGGCGGCGGGCGGUGGAGCAGAGCAGCAGAGAAAGCAGAGAGGAAGGGGAGAGAGGAAGACGACGAGGAUCUGGUUGGAAUUUUUCAAAAGUGCAAGGACUCUACUGUAAAGUAAAAUUAUCUUUCAAACCAUAGCUCAAAUGAAAAUAUGCCCAAAAGAAAAAGUGUAGAGUUUAGAAGGAUCUACAACUUUGCUUUAAGGGUCAGCUUCAAAAGAGUUAGGUUUUUAAAACUAUUUUGAAAUCCGAUAAACUAUCAAAUUUCACAUAAAAUCUAUUUAAAAAUUCACAUUCUAAAAGAAACCUUAGGAUAAUUCCACUUCUUACAGUGGUUUAAAAGUAAAUUCUUGCCUUUGCAAAAUUAUCCUUCAUACAUUUUGAAAUUACCCUACCCUCAAACACAUUUAGCAAAAGAACCCUAAUUUUUCCAUAAUUACAAAAAUACCCUUUAAGUUGCAUUUAAGUUUUAAAAGCUUUUAUCAAAGCAACACACACUUCAUUCUAACAAGCAUAACAUAUACUAAAAUUUAAUAUGCCUAUCUCCUAAGUACCUGGAUGUCACAGGGCAUGGGCUGUCCACUGACACGUCGGGUAGGUAUGCUGACACCACGGUAAGCCUGCCAGUUACCGAGGCGGCGUGUCACAUCACCACACCGCGUAUGAAGGCGGGCGGCGUGUAGUCACAUCACAGCGCCGCGCGCAUGAGCAAAGGGUAAUUAUGAUCUGCUGCAGGAGGGCUACGGCGUGCGCUGCUACAGUGUGCGUGGGCGCUACCUCACGACAGGUCAACACGGCCCCUUCGCCCGUUAGCGAGAAUUGACCCAAUAGUGACAACACAUCUCCCACUAUGCAUGUCACUAACAACAGGCACUGUGCCAGUGAAACGGUACAUGACCAUACCCUGGUAGAAGAUAUGCACGUCAACUUCCCGAUCGAGGACUACAGGGAGGAGCCAAAGAGGAAGAUUUCCGAAUCUGUGGCAUAAAGUCUCCAAUGUGUACGUUAUCUAAUAUGUCGCUGGGUCCACCUGUCGGGGCCUCGCUCAGUGUACGUGCUCCCCUUGAGCCUAUAAAAGGGAAAGCACACUCGCUAGAACACAAGUUCUGGAGAUUUCAGAGACUCCUAAGCUCACAAGCUCUCGGAAGCUUUAAGUUCUCACAAACAAUUCAACACACAGUGGAUGUAGGGUUUUACGUUCCGACAACCUGAACCACUCUAAACCCUUGUGUGCUUUCCGUGUUCAUUCACCCCUUGAUCUAGCAUUCCUAGACUUCCCCCAAACUCAUCCCAGACUAGGAUUAGGCAGGUGCAUUCCGCCACUUGACAGGAGAUUUACUCCGACAUUUGGCGCGCCCCUAUAGGAGGUGGAGGUCCGGCAUGCACCAAUGUGACAACUGACCCUGCUUUGGAGGGUCCGGCCGGGUCCCAACUGUCAGACCCGGGGCCACGGGGCUGUGUACAUCAAGGAGUCCGUAUUGGACUAGGGGAUAGGACGUGUCCUGUACCUCAUUUAUGUUGUAUUCUAUCCGCAUGCGGAGUAGAACUAGUCGAUACAGAAGGAAACUACUCGAGUUGUACUUGAGUACGAUUUCUAUGUUAGUAUCAGACUAGGAUUCAUGUAACCCUGUCCCCCCGGAUAUAUAAGGGCGGGCAGGGACCCCCUCAAAACAUAAGAUCACCAGAUCAACACCAAGGCAAUACAAACCAUCAUACAGGACGUAGGGCAUUACGCAUAUUACGGCCUGAACCUGUCUAAAUCUUGUGUUGUCUGCACCUUCGAGUUCCUGAUCUCGGCGCAUCCCAACCUAAAACCUACCACCUUGGGUAUACCCCUUGGUGGGCAGCCGGAUAAAACCCGACAGCUGGCGCGCCAGGUAGGGGAGCGCAUCAGAGAUCCGCUGGAGAACUCGAUGGCGAUUUUCAAGUUCCCCAGUCCCGUGCUCCCUGAGGGCACGACCUUUGUUUUUGGCUCGUGGGUCUGCGUUGCCAACGGCGCAGGCGGUUUCCGUCGGCACACCAUCGACGACACCUUCAAGCUAAAGACACUCGCCGCAAGGCUCGACGACUUUGUCGAUAAUCUCGACGAGUUGCCGUUUUCUGACUCUGCCAGGGAGACCGAGGCAGCGUCUGUUUCUACUGUUCCUUUUUCCAUGUUGGAAAAGGACUUGGACUCUUUGCUCCAGGCUGGAGGUUCCGGGGCCACCGCAUGCCGGGAGGCCGAGGAUCACCUGGCCGCUUGCGGGCUGAUGAUUACCACCACCUCCGAAGGACGAAUUGUUCAUUGGAGGGGGAUGAACUUGUCCGAUUCACCCGGACAUGAAGACCGAUUGGUAGCCCAUCUUGAGCCUUUGCCUUUUCAGGAGGGCAGGGCGUUGGCUGCCAUAUCCGAGGGCUCGACUGAGCUAGUCGAAGCCCCUUCCGAUGAACUCGCAACUCGCCAAGUCCUGAUGGCGGAAGAAGGGGACGACGACGCCCUCAUCCCCAUUGGCGCACUUGACGGCAUCUCAGAAGAUGAAGACACCGCAGAAGCCGAGAACGAGAACGACGCCGAGCGCGACGCGCGACGUGCAAGGAACAGAGCUCGUGCGGUUCGCAGAAGGCGCGCCAACGAGCGCAUACGUUCUGCACAGCGCAAACUCGACGCCGAAUUCGCCGCGGCAGAUGAACGUGGCUUCAGGACUCCUGUGGCCAACAUCGCUCGGGUAACAGCAUUACUCGAGUGAAGCAACGACCCCAACGUCCGACAAGCACUCAUCUACGCCCAACGGGCGUGGGUCCAGUUGGACCAGCAGGCUCCGGCAUCGCUCGUCAGGGACGAGCACGUCGGAGACAGCCGAAGCCAGGCCCCAAGUCGAACAACGGGUCAUCGCCCGCGACCCCAACGCAGCAACAACAAUGAUGGCGUGGGUGGAAGCCAGAUCACCGGUGGGAGGCGACAGCCACCUCCGGCAAACAACCCGAGGCAGCCCAACCCUCCACGUCACCAACCUGAUCUUCGCCAAAAGAUCAAUGAGGGGCGCGAUGCCCGGUCAGUCCUCGACUCGAGGCGACGGGAGCGUGAGGUAGUCGAGCGAGACGAUGCUGACUGCAGCGAUCGUUUCCCCGCGUUCACUGCGAGAUUCAACAACUACAAGUACCCGGAGGGUUUCAAGCCAAUUGGCAUUACCAAGUAUGACGGCAAGCAGGCACCCCAACAAUGGCUCCGCUGUUAUUCUACUGCCAUUGAGGUGGCUGGCGGCUCCAAUACUACCAAGGUCGUCUACUUUCCGAUGGCUUUGGAGCCUGCACCGUUGACUUGGCUCGAAAGUCUCCCCAACGAUUCUAUCGACUCCUGGGAAGGCCUCAAGAAGGUCUUCAUCGACAACUUCCAGGGGGCCAUAUCUCGAGCAGGAACCCGGCACGACCUCGCCCAGUGCAAGCAAGAGCGCAAUGAACUCCUCCGAUCUUACACCCGCCGUUUUUUCGAUGUGCGGGCCACCAUCGCCAACAUCUCAGAAGAGGACAUUAUCGAUUGCUUCUACAACGGCCUCACUGACCCAGGUAUAUAUCGUGAUUUUGGGCGUAACAGGCCAAAGACGGUUGCAGGUUUACGCGACAUGAUGCAUGACUGGUCUGAACAAGAAGAAAAGAUGCGCGAGAGGUUUCCAAGACGUACCGACCUCAACCAGAAGCGCAACAAUGACAACCGGGCAGACAAAGGCCAGCGGGAUUUUUCGGGUUCUUCCCGAAAACGCAAGCCAGACGAUCUCGUCGCGGCUGUGGACCGUCCUUCGCGGGGCAAGAAGUCGACCACGCAGGAGCAGUUUGAAAAACUCCUGCAGAAGAAGUGCCCGUGGUGUGUCAACUCCAAACACGCAGCGAUCGACUGUUUUCAGCUCAAGCGCGCCUUCGGCUCUCCUGGGAACGGCAAGAAGAACAAGUCGACGGGCAAAGAGCCCGAAGACGAGGAACAGGAGGACAAAUCUGAGACGCCUAAGUUCCAGGAUGCCUCCAAGACCGUCAAUGUUAUCUUUGGCGGUGACGAAGAUUUUUGCUCCAAGCGGGAACAGAAGUUGCUGCUACGAGAGAUCCUAUCAGUUGAACCAGCGGUACCACGACCACUCCGAUGGUCGGAGGUUCGCAUAUCAUUUUCCCGUGAUGAUCAAUGGACUAGCUUUUCCGAGCCUGGGAAGUUCCCACUGGUGCUGGAUCCCGUGGUCGCAGAAGUCAAGCUUACUCGGGUUCUUAUCGAUGGCGGGAGCAGGCUCAAUCUUAUCUUCGCCAGUACACUAAAGAAGAUGGGUCUGGACCUCACCAACAAGCUUACUCCGAGCAAAGCUCCUUUUUAUGGUAUUGUUCCUGGCAAUGCCGCGCAUCCGCUUGGGACAGUUGUUCUUCCAGUCACUUUCGGGACGAGGGAGAACUAUCGUACCGAGUUCAUCAAGUUCGAGGUGGCCAGCUUCGAAUCUUCCUACCACGCCAUACUGGCGAGGCCGGCGCUUGCCAAGUUCAUGGCGGUGCCACAUUAUAUCUACUUACUUCUCAAGAUGCCAGGACGUAACGGUGUGCUCACGCUCCGAGGCGACUUGAAGAAGUCCUAUGAUUGUAACCAAGAGGCCAUCCAGUAUGCAUCGACUUCCCGCGUGCCAGAUGCUUCCGCAGAAGUACUCGCGGCCACACAGCAACUCUCUCAAGCUGAGCUGGACAUCCCGACGAAGAAGGCGAGUCAAUCGGGCGUCAAGUCGACGGGCGAGGUGGCUCUCAAGACGAUCCAGCUCCAAGAAGGCGAUUCAUUUAAGACAGCCAUCAUCGGCGCGGGCUUGGGUGACAAAUAGGAACUCGCGCUCGUCAGUUUCCUGCGGGCUAACCGAGACAUAUUCGCAUGGAAGCCAUCGGAUAUGCCAGGGGUGCCCAAGGAGCUGAUCGAGCAUAGUCUUAAUGUGUACCCACAGGCUGUACCAAAGAAGCAACGACUUCGUCGUUUUGCCCCCGAUAAACGGGAGGCUAUCAAAUGGGAAAUAGCUAAACUCCUCGCGGCUGGAUUCAUUAAAGAAGUAAUCCACCCAGAGUGGGUGGCUAACCCCGUCCUUGUAUUAAAAAAGAACAAAGAAUGGAGAAUGUGUGUCGAUUAUACCGAUCUCAACAAGCAUUGCCCAAAGGAUCACUUUGGGCUCCCUCGCAUCGAUCAGGUAGUCGACUCGACCGCAGGUUGCGUAUUGUUAUGUUUCCUUGAUUGUUACUCAGGCUACCACCAGAUCGCUCUCAAGGAAGAAGACCAGAUCAAGACCGCGUUCAUCACCCCGUUUGGGACUUAUGCCUACAAGACGAUGUCUUUCGGGUUGAAGAACGCUGGCGCCACCUAUCAGCAGGCAAUUCAGAAGUGCUUUGCUGAUCAGUUACACCGGAACGUGGAGGCCUACGUGGACGACGUGGUCGUGAAAACUCGAAGUCCCGAGGGCCUCAUCACGGAUCUGGAGGAAACUUUCGCCAGCCUACGGAAGUACCGAUGGAAGCUUAAUCCGACCAAGUGCGUUUUUGGUGUUCCGUCAGGAAAACUGCUCGGGUUCAUAGUCAGUAACCGGGGUAUUGAGGCCAACCCUGAAAAGAUUACCGCCAUCACUGAUAUGGAGGCACCUGCCACAAUCAAAGAUGUACAGAAACUUACAGGUUGCAUGGCAGCUCUCAACAGAUUCAUCUCCCGGCUCGGGGAGAGAGGAUUACCUUUUUUCAAACUUUUAAAGCGUCAGGACAAGUUUCACUGGACAGAGGAAGCCGAGCGGGCUCUGCAGGAUCUCAAGCAACACCUACAGUCGCCCCCGAUCCUCACAGCACCAUUGCCGGGUGAGACCCUUUUACUUUACAUUGCGGCAACUACCCACGUUAUUAGCAGUGCUAUUGUUGUCGAGCGCUCCGAGGAAAGCCAUGCUUUUGGCGUGCAGCGGCCCGUGUACUUUGUCAGUGAAGUACUCUCAGAGUCUAAGGUGCGCUACCCGGCGGUCCAAAAGCUUCUCUAUGGCAUAUUGAUUACUUCGAGGAAAUUACGUCACUACUUUGAAGAGUACCAGAUCGUCGUGAUCACAGACUACCCGUUGGUGGAUAUCCUACACAACCAAGAUGCCACGGGUCGUAUUUCAAAAUGGGCAGUGGAACUGGGGGCUUUGUCGAUCGACUUCAAGCCACGCACUGCAAUCAAGUCCCAAGCUCUAGUCGACUUCAUGGCUGAGUGGAGGGAAAAUCAAGUCUCAAAUCCAGUUGACAAGCCAGAGCAUUGGACCAUGUACUUCGAUGGUUCUCUCAAGCUCGAUGGCAGCGGCGCUGGAGUUUUAUUCGUUUCCCCAAGAGGCGAACAACUCAAAUACGUCCUCCAAAUUCUCUGGGAGGUAUCCAACAAUGAAGCCGAGUAUGAAGCGUUGCUUCACGGGCUCCGUUUGGCGAUAUCACUAGGGAUCAAGCGACUACUUGUAUAUGGCGAUUCACUCUUGGUCGUUCAGCAAGUCAACAAGGAAUGGGACUACAACAAGGAGACCAUGGAAGCCUAUGUACGAGAAAUACGCAAGCUAGAAAACAAAUUUUCUGGCCUAGAAAUUCACCAUGUGCUGCGGGAACACAAUGUUGCUGCCGAUGCCUUAUCCAAGCUGGGAUCAACCCGAGCUCAAGUCCCGGCAGGGGUAUUUGUUCAGGAGCUGACGCACCCGUCCAUCAGCCCUUCACCACCGGUUUCCACCGCCACUGGCUCCGUACAGCCAGAACGGGAGGUACUGCUGGUCGGCGAGGACUGGAGAGGACCUUUCAUCGACUUCAUCCGAGAUCUCGUUUUACCGACCGGGAUGGACCCUAAAAGCGCUGCCGCCGCCCGCCUCAUGCGAUGGAGCAAGGGGUUUGUCCUAGUCGAAGACAAACUUUAUCGGCGCGGCGCACGAUCCGGAGUACUCAUGAAGUGCGUCACAACAGAAGGCGGUCUGGACAUACUGCGAGAAAUACACGAGGGCGUGUGUGGUAACCAUGCCGCCUCAAGGUCACUGGUUGGCAAAGCAUACAGAGCCGGUUUCUGGUGGCCUACCGCCGUGUCCGACGCCGAAGAUCUGGUACGUCGAUGUCAGAACUGCCAGUUCUUCGGUAAGCAAACUCAUGUCCCGGCCCACACCCUCAUCACUAUACCGCCUUCCUGGCCGUUUGCUUGCUGGAGCCUCGACAUGAUUGGGCCCUUCACAACGGUGCCAGGAGGUUUUACUCAUGUUCUGGUGGCUAUCGAUAAGUUCACCAAGUGGAUCGAGUUCAAGCCGAUCGCCAAGCUUACCCCAGACAGGGUGGUCGACUUCAUCUCCGACAUCUUACAUCAUUUCGGCUUCCCCAACACUAUUAUCACCGACUUGGGUUCCAAUUUCACGCCAACCAAUUCUGGGAAUUCUGUGAAAACUCAUCCAUCGAAGUCAAAUAUGUUUCAGUGGCUCACCCAAGGGCAAAUGGGCAAGUCGAGAGGGCGAAUGGUUUGAUUAUCGACGGUCUCAAGAAGAGACUUUACGACGCCAACAGCAAAAAGGGCGGGAAGUGGAUUCACGAGUUGCCACACGUAAUCUGGGGGCUCAGGACUCAACCUUCAAAAGCCACAGGGCAGACCCCUUUCUUUCUUGUCUACGGCUCCGAGGCGAUUCUCCCUGCAGAUAUCAUGUGGAAAUCACCAAGGGUUGAGAUGUAUAAAGAAGGCGAGGCGGACGAAGCACGACAGCUGGAGUUGGACUCUGUCGAAGAGGCUCGCUGCUCUGCUCUCGUUCAGUCAGCCCGUUACCUACAGGGAAUCCGGCGAUAUCAUGAUCGCAACAUUAAGGAACGGUCGUUUAGCAUUGGCGACCUUGUCCUUCGUCGCGUUCAGGACGAGUCGGGUUUGCACAAGCUUAACUCAAGAUGGGAAGGACCGUUCAUUGUCAAGAGGGUUACAAGACCGGGAUCUUAUCAACUUCGGCACCCCGAUGGUCAGGAUGUACCCAACUCGUGGAACAUCCAGCACCUGCGACGGUUCUACCCCUAAGCAGACUCGUGUCCAAUUUCUAUAUGCAUCAAUGGCAAGUUUUACUUUUCUGGAUCGAUUUGGCGGCUUUGUGCCACACAACCCGAAAUGUAAAUUCUUGAAUAUAAUGGUGGCGGCUGUUGGCCAUGCUUAAAUUUUAUAUAAAAUCGACUACUUGCCAGUGGCACAGGGGUCGUCGCGAUGCUAAUCGUGCUCUUUCAAACUGGUUAGGCCCGUCUGGCUCGGGUUCUAUCUAACUCGUUUGGCUACUCCUGCGGUGGUUACACCUAAGGGUAGUUUUUGACUGUUUGCCAUGAGCAUCCUAGUCGUCGCGCCACAGACUGCGCGUUCCGGGUCCGAGUGGAUCCUUUUUGGCAGGAUCUUAUUUAGCUCACCUGAUGAGCUCUCGUGCAGGGCUAAAUCAACUACUCUCUGAGUCGAUGCACUCAGAGGUAGCACGCCUAUGCUCCAAAGCAGAUGGGGCUCUUCGUCUGCACAUACGGCUACAAAGGAACAAAAAUGGUUUCUUAUAUUACAAAAGUCUUAAGCACUAACGGUUCAAUCCUGGACCAUGUUUCCAACAAUUUUUUCAGCUACAGGCCGGACCUCUAGCAAAUACUCGCGGAAGCUUUCAUCAGUACAAUCAGCAGCUGCACCCUCCGCGAGUACUUCUAGCCGAGCCUUUGGCCAGAAGGACUUUACAAGGCCUAGGGCAUGGCCCACGUAAGAUGUGGCAGCCUCGGUGACGAAAUUGAGGAUCUUUUGUGGCGCCCUGCGAAGACGAUCAAGUAGUGGUUGUCCAUCUUCAGCACCGUCUUCCCGGGGAUCCACCAUCUCUACGAGUUCCUGAGCUGCCACCUUCAAAUCAUCGAGUUCCUUCUGGCGCUGCUCUUUCUCCUCGCCCAAAGUCUUGAUCUGCUGGAGGCAAUCGACGAGUUGCUUCUCUGUGUCGGCCAUCACCUUUCGCAGACCCUCGACUUCAUCUGCGCGGCGAUAUAGCAUGUUCUUCAAAUCAGUAAGCAAUUCUUCUUUGUAAUUUAACAGCUGCUUAAGUUCUGCGAUGAUAAGCAGGUUUCAGAUCAUGAAGUUAUCGACCAUGGGUAUGACUCCGAGAAUUGAAUUCAACACACCUUGAUGGGUUUUCCGCUGUUCCUUGAGUCGGCCUUGGAGCUUGACGAUAUUCUGCUCGAAGCCGGCUCGCUCCUGCAACAGCCCGUCGAUACGCCUGGUGGACUCUUCCAGCUUCGUUGAAGUUUUUUGGUUCAUGUCCUACAUGUUUUUGGGUGUCAGAGGAUAUCGACCUAAUCAUACAGUUACCAGCGGUCUAGUUGAGAUUUACCAGAACAAAUGAGUCGAUCGCCUUGAUCAUUUGGCGUAGGCGGUUCAGAUCAUCCCCCGGGAGGUGCAUCUCUUGGAGUAUAAUGGUGUUUUCCCCUACAGAGGUCGGCAACCCGGGCGCCUCGCAAGAAGCACCCGCACCCUCCAAGGCUGACGGCUGAGAGGUCCCUGCAAAGGACGAGUAUUAAUAUAGCAAUGAUUGUGGCAGAAGGCAGCGGGAUCAUUUACCUGCACCGCCGACGGGUACGGUAGUGGUGACCUCGACUUGCUCAUUGCCGGGGGCUUCGGGUUCUGUGUGCUGGAGCUCGGGUAGUGGCGAGUCACGCAUGAUUACAUCUGCCCCCCCUGCU
rnacentral:lncRNA from 1 species